rnacentral:lncRNA from 1 species
GCGGUGUAAGAUAGAAUUACUUUGUUACACCAAAAUAAAUCGUGACAAUCAAAAGACUUGGGAGGUCAUUAAAUUGCUCUUUUCCUUCAACUUUACGUCAUACUUGUGCUUCACCAUUGGCGUCAUGUUAUGACCUGAUUCCGGAAUGAAGAAAGGAAUUGACGUGGGGUUUAGGAAAGAGAGAAAAUUUAGAAAUUAGGGAGAAUGAGAAGAGCUUAUUGAUUUCAUCUUCCAGAAUGAAUCAGUAGUACACGGGAGUAGCUUAUUUAUCGAGCUUCAAGUCACUUCUUGUAACAGAAUAACUACUUGCUACUACUAGCGUGUUAAGCUGUAACUUCGCUAACUACUUCUAGCACGUGGCUGUGACAUGAGGAUACAGCAAAAAUAUAGCAUUAUUGGAUUAAUUAUACAAGGCAUAACAUUGCUCCCCCUUAAGAAUCCGAGUCCCUAGGAUUAAAAUCUGGAAAUUGUCCCUUGAGCACAAUCCAAUCUUACCACGUUGCUUCUGCAGGAGACAUGUUCACCCAAUCCGCAGUACUUGAGUGACUGCAGAAUUUCCUCUCUUUAUCAUUCUUCUAUCCAAGGUGGCUUGAGGCCACUUUCACAGUGCCAUCAUCUAUAACUUGAGGCAAACUACCACUCACGGAUACACCCUUAGCAACUUUUUUAACAUAGAUACAUGGAAUACAGGAUGAAUGGGAGCAUCUGCUGGUAACUCCAGUUUAUAAGCUCCAACCUUCUGUAAAAUUUUAGAAGGUCCAUAGUUUUGGAUGAAAGCUUCAGAUUUCUUCUAAGUGCUAUAGAGCUUUGUCUGUAUGGUUGAAGCUUCAAGUACACCCCAUCUCCUACUUCAAAACUUCUCUUAUCUGCAUUCUGCUUCAUCUAUUCUGAGCUACCUCUAGAUUUUCUUUCAACAAUCUAUCCCAAUCUUGUCUUCCCUUCACCCAAUUUGUAGCUAUUGAGGAGUUUUCCGCAGAUGGCAACAAGCUAAUUUGAGGGGAGGAUAACCAUAAAGAGCCAUGAAAGGAGUCAUCUAUAAAGCCGAGUGGUAAUUGGUGUUAUACCACCACUCAGCUGCAGUCAACCUCUGUCUCCAUUUGGUGGUUGCUGGAAGGUCAUGCAUCUUAGAUAGGUCUCUAAGCACCUAUUCAAUCUUUCUAUCUACCCGUCAGACUGUGGAUGGUAAGUAGAUGGUAGGUAUAACUCGGUACCCACCUUUUAAGAAUAAGUCCUGCCAAAAAGCACUAGUAAAAACCUUGUCUCUAUCUGAGACUAUGCUAAGAGGUAGGCCAUGUAGUUUGUAAACAUGAUUAAAGAACAACUGAGCUACAUCUUGAGCUGUGUAAUUGCUGGUAGGGAUAUGAAAUGUCCAUAUUUGGUGAAUCUGUCAAUGACCGCCAUAAUGGUAUCAUGCCCCUUAGAUUUGGGAGCCCUUCUAUAAAAUCCAUGGAGAUAUGCUGCCACGCUUGUUUAGGUAUUAGUAAGGGUUGUAGUAGUCCCAGAUAUUUUCCUAAUUCUGCUUUACUCUUUUUACAAGUGUCACAGCCUGCACCAUUUGUUCCACAUCUCUUUUCAUUCCCAGCCAGUAAAAAUACAGCUUCAUUCUAUGAUAGGUACCACUAUUACCGAAAUGACCACCAACUAGAGAAUCAUGCAUGCAUUCCAUCAGCUUCCUUCUCAAAUCAGUAGCAUCCCCCACAAAAAUUCUACCCUUGAACCUGAUGAUACCAUGGUCAUAAGUAUAAUCUGUAAGAGAGUCUCCAUUAGUGGACAGAUUUCAACAAUUCCUUAGCUUUAGCAUCUCCAUUGUCGCUUUGAGUAACUUCCUGGAGCCAUGCAGGCGUCACUAUUGAUAUUGCAUUCAAUUCAUUUUGCUCAUUUUCACCCCUUCUGGACAAGGCAUCAGCAACAAUAGUGUCCCUUCCUUUCUUGUAUUGAAUCUCAUAAUCCAUUCCCAUCAGUUUAGAGAGCCAUUUUUGUUGUAAGGGAGUAGUGAUUCUCUGGUCUAGCAGAUACUUGAGACUUUCAUGGUCAGUCUUAAUUACAAUAUGUGCUCCCAUCAAGUAAUGCCUCCACUUGGUCACUGCUACAAUUAGGGAUAGUAGCUCCUUCUCAUAUAUUGACAUCCCUAGAUUUUUAUUUGCUAGUACCUGACUCAUAUAUGCUAUUGGUCUUCCUUGUUGUAUCAACACAGCUCCUAGAGCUUUGGCUGGCAUUAGUCUCUAGGAUAAAGGUUUAGUAAAGUCCGGUAAUGCUAAUAUAGAACUCAUGACCUAUUUCAACUAGUAGAAAGCAUUCUCAGCUUCUGUACUCCACCAAAGGAAUCCUUUUCUAACAAAUCAGUCAAAGGUUUAGCUAUCAACCCAUAGCUCUUAACAAACCUUUGAUAAUACCUGGUCAACCCAAGAAAACCCCUUAAUGCUUUAACAACUCAGGACGUGGCUAGGAUACCAUGCUCUGUACCUUUGCGGGAUCAGUUACCACUCCGUCCUUGGUGACAAUGUGUCCCAAGUACUCAACCUAUGGCUAACCAAAAGUGCAUUUGGAGAGUUUGGCAUAAAGUUUAUGAUGUCUGAGAGUAUCCAGAACUUGUUUAAGGUGAAUAAGGUGGGUAGUCAAAUAUGGGCUAUAUACUAAGAUAUCAUCAAAGAAGACUAAUACGAAUUUUCUGAGAAAUUGAAUUCAUGAGUGCUUGAAAGGUUGCCGGGGCAUUAGUAAGCCCAAAUGGCAUAACGAGAAUUCAUACAAUCCAGUGUGAGCUCGAAAGACUGUUUUAGGUAUAUGAUUGGGAUGCAUUCUAAUCUGGUGAUAACCAGAUCUGAGAUCAAUUUUGGAAAAUAUUUUGGAACCAUGAAGCUCGUACAAGAGAUCAUCAAUGAUAGGGAUAGGAAAUUUGUCCUUAAUGGUGAUUUCUUUAGCUGUCUAUAAUCAAUACAAAACCUUCAGGUUUCAUCUUUUUUUCUAACUAGCAGGACGGGUGAAGCGAAAGGGCUAUGACUAGGCUGAAUAAUGCCAUUAAUAGAAUUUCUUGAACUUGUUUCUCAAUUUCAUUCUUCUAAAUGUGGGGAUAUCUAUAAGGAAUCAACUUGAAAGGUUUAGAAUCUGGUUUAAGGGGUAUCUCGUGAUCUAAUUGUCUAAUAGGGGGUAGGUGGAGAGUUCUCCAAACACAUCAGUACAAUAAGCCAGGAGUGCACUUAUGGAGUCAUCAGUGUGAGACGUUACCUUAGGAGUGUUAACUGCUAGAACACAGGGCUGUGUAGAGUUUCUUUCUUCUUGUAUCUCAUAAACUUUUGGACAGUUUUUCCUUCCUCAGUUUGAUGUCUGCCUUCUUAAAUCUCCUUGUAGCUUUAUUUCCCACCCCUCCUGAUUAAAGGAGAAUUGCAGAUGCUUGAAAUCAAAAGUUAUAGGACUAUGCUCUCUCAUCCAAUUAACCACCAAUACCAUAUCGUACGGCUCAAUUGCAAGCACAUAUCCAUCAUGAGUGAAUGUAUGCCCUUGUAUUUCUAAGGAUGAUCCGUGGAACCCAGCUACUACACUGUAGCAUCUGCCCAUUAGCCACUUGACUGCGAACAAUUUCCUUGGUACUACUAAUUGAGGAUUUUCCUCGAACACUGAAGCUUCAACAAAAGUGUGAGAACUUCCUCCAUCCCAAAAUAUUGAGAGUGGUUUGCCAUUAAAUUUCCCUUCAGUUUGAUAGUACCCUGCAGCAGCUCGCCAAUCAUAAAGUGGAUGGAAAAUACUACAUCUUUAUGACUAUUGGAAAGAGUUCGAUCGUACAUAGGUUGGCAAACAUGGCUGGCAUGAAAAAGUGAUACAGUAUAUGAAAUUUGACUUCAAAAGCUUGCCCUUGCUCUUUCACGGAUACGGGGCAGGGACGGUCAUCAGAAGGACCGUCCCUGAACAGUUCCCUAACAAACUCUAAUAAGAGGCCCUUAUGCAUCCAUGUUGAUAUAAAUAAAAUGCUCCCGUUUCACUUAGUGAGCAUAAAAAAAUUUAAAAAAAACUUGCCUUAGCCUAAUAGAUUCCACUACUGUCGAAACUUCGUUCCAAAAAAAUCCCGCCCAAAUUGAUUGGGCAUGACUAUCCAUUAAAACUCAAAGCCUAAUGCUCUCCCUCCAAAAAUCAAUCUCUUACUUUCCAUCCAAAAUUUGUCAAUAUAACUCCAUAACUCUAGAACUAGAGCAAAAUAACAUUCAAGAACAAGAAAAUUGCAGACGAGAGUGCCAAAGAAGAGCCAUGGAAAUGUACUAUCACCCAUCAAUCAUUACACUGAGGAGAAGAAGAACUACUUGCUGAAGGAAAAGGUGUUGGAGAUCUGAUAGUAGAAGGUGGUAGGAUUUGAGACAGAGAAACACCCAAUUGCAUCUGCAUAAACCCUUCAGGUAACAAUGUUGCAAACCAAUGACUUAAUUUCAUUUUUUGGUGAAUGGUGUCCAUCUAUUGUACUUGUAGUCUCAUGAAACCCUUUGAAUAGUAGAAGUUAAUUAGUUGAUGGACUGCACAAGAGAGGAGGGUAAAGAAAAAUUUUGCAUGCCAAAUGUUUGCAAAAUAGAAAAAAAAACUUUCAAACCAAUUAGUAGAAAGAGUUAUUACUAGGGGAUGUAUAUGAGAGUAUUUGUCUAGCAAUAACAACAUCAGAUCAACAAUAAAGUCAAGGUUAUAAAGAAACAAAAAAUUUCAAGUUAUAUUUUUCAUUUGUGUCGGUUGUAGGGACAUGUAAUGGUGUAGAUAGAAUUACUGGUGUUUAUGGGUAAUUACAACGAAAUAAAAUAGGAAGUACAUUAAGAAUAAUAGCAAGCAAAGUGAAUGAUUAUAAUGAAUUAUAAGAUGUUCCAGUGAGUAUGCCUUUACAUCAAUACUGGAUAGCAAAAUAAUAUUUGUAAUUAACUGGUGAUAGUGGAGAAACACUUUCAUGCAGUUGGAAAUUAAUAAUCACUUACACUAAAAUGUUCAAUUUGCUUAAAAAAGUCACAAUGAAGGGAAAAAGAAGGAAUAGAGGCCAACAAAAAGAGGAAAAUGCACACAUUAUUAACAUUAAUGAGUGGUAUUUCAUGUUUGAAGAUUAGUACUUAUUCAUAUAAGAACUGUCUAGUAAUUGAAGUGAAUUACUUUAAACUUAAUUGGUAUGAGUAUUUAAAAUCAUUUAUAUAUAUUAGAUUGAAUGUACAUACGGUUCAGUAUGCCUUAUGUAGUGCAAAAAUAUAAUUAUAAGAUGUCUUAGUAGUGUGCCUGUACAUCAUAUUAGAUAACUAUUAUUUUUUAUGAAUAAACAGUGACCGUGGAGAAAUACUUUCAUAUAGUUGUAAAUUAAUAAUCAAUUAAAAUAAUGCCCUGUUAAAGAAAGGUGUGAAGGUUUGACAAUAAAGGAAAAAAAAUAAAAGGAAAUGCACGCAUCAAAUAAUAAUGGUGGUCCCUGUUUCUUGUGGAUUGCUUCAAAGUUGAUUGGUAUUAAUGUAAAUUCUAAUUUUUAUGUGUUAGGUUGAAUGUACAUAUUGUUCAAUAUGCCUUACUUACUGGUAGAAAAUGGUUACAAGAUGGUUUAGUUAAUAUGCCUAUACAUCAUAUUGGAUAAGUAUUGUUAUUGGUGAACAAUUAGUGACAAUCGACAAAUACUUUUAUGUGGUUGUAAUUCAGCAAUGAAGUAACAGGAUGAUGUUGAAGCAAGAUCUACGGGAUUUAUAAUGAAAGGAAAAGAAAUAUAAGGAAGAGAAGCGAGGUGAAGUGUACACACUAUUAAUUUGACAAUUUAUUAUCGCAUGUUUGUUACUUGGUACUUAUUUGUACAUUCCUAGUCUAUGGGAUUAAGCUUGAUUGGAUAAGUGUAGGAUGUAAUAUGUAUGUAUUAGGCUAAAUGUACUCAAUGUUCAAUAUGCCUUACUCAGAUUUGAAUCUAGUAUAUCAUAUUUAGUUGUGAUUUUAUAACGUCAUAUGAAUGCCAGGAAAAAAAAGGAAGCAGGGCAGGGACGGUUAAUAGAGAUCAAUCGUCCCUGAACAAUGUAAUAUUUUUUGAAUAUUUUGUAACUCUAUGUAAAUUUCUUGUACAUCCUUACAACAGAAAUGUGAUAUUUGGUUACUGUUCGUAUAAGUCCUAUAUAUAAUAAUUGUGUUUUUGUUGUUAAAUUUUUAUAAGUUGUUCACAUAAAGUUCCGUUUUGUUUAAAAAAUGUUAUUUUGUUCAGAACGGUUGUUUUGAACAAAGUAAGUAGCCUUUACAAUUUGCAUGAGCAGUGGCAAGAUAGCACGGAAAAAGACAAAGAAGAAUCCAAGAGAAAAGGAAGAAAUAUAAAUAGGGGAACUACCAAACUUGCAGAACCAAUCCCAUCAUUUAUAAUUAGAAAGGAAAAGAAGAAACCAACUUGAGAAGAAGAAAUGAAGCAAGCGAACUCAGCUAAUAGCAUUGUAUAACAGCAUUGAUGGCAGACAACCUAAGGUUCCAUCUAAAUCACUUAAUACGUAAGUGGCUAGUGUUUGUCUCUUGCAACAUCUAUAGAACUCAAUACGUGAGCUUGAUGAUAAUUAUGCGCAACAUGCAAUGGGAAGCAGUCAGGGAAAGAAGAAAAAAAAAUGAAGGUAAAACAUCUUGUUCAGAUUGCCUUUUUUAGUGUGGAAAAAUGGUUACCAGUUAUGUUAAUUAGUAUGCAUACAUCGUGUUAGAUAACUAUUACAUUUUGUGAUAGAAUAGUGAUAGUGAAAAAAAUACUUUGACAUGGUUGUAAAUACACACUUAACUAGUAUAAUGAUAUUAAAUAAAGUCCUAGAAAUUGAUAAUGGAACCCUUGUGAGGAAAGAAAUAGAGACAUAAGUUUACUCUUGUUUGUAAGUUGAAACCCCAAUUAAUUGUGGCAGAUCAAUAAUUGAAACCCACAGUAUGAAAAUUGAUUGGCAUGAAUCUUGGUUCUAAUGCCUAUAUGUUAGGUUGAAUGUACUUGUUGUUCAAAAUGUCUUGCACAUAAUUGAAUCUACCAUAUCAUUACUUUAUCUUGAUUUAGGAAUGUCAGGAAAAAACCUUAUUAACAUGAAAACAACUACAUAGCUAUACCUUCACAGAAAAAUGCAAAUAUUAACUAUACCAAAGUUCUAGAAUACAUUCCAACUCAUUUAGCUAUUUUUCACUAUGCUAUUUCCAAUCUACUUUUUAUAGAUAUGCACAAUCAAGUAACUAACACCUCAUUGAUUAUACCUCAUAGAUCAUGUACAUUUUCAUAAGCUGAUUAAUGCAGAUAUUAACAAACAUUAGUAAUUGUUUACUCUUGUUUAUAUUUUGAAACCUCGACUAACUGUAGUAAUCCAGUAAUUGAAGCCUACAGUAUGAGAAUUGAUUGGCAUGAGUCUUGGUUCUAAUGCCUAUAUAUUAGGUUGAAUGCACUUGUUGUUCAAAAUGUCUUACUCAUAAUUGCAUCUGCUAUAUCAUUUUUAGAACUACUUUAUCUUGAUUUAGGAAUGUUGGGAGAAAAUCUUAUGUAAUUGUUUAUCAAAAAGUUGGUGCAGAUGGCAUAUAAGAGAUUGAGAAGUUUGAUUAAGAAAGCAUCUAGAGAAGAAAAAAGUGAAAAAUUAGAUAAUAGCGAACUUGAAGCAUCAUCAAAAUCCUUGAAUAUGUAAGUUUGUCAAUGCUUUUAUGUUGCACCAGUAUGUUGGUAGGAUAGUGAGACGUGAUUUUUUUCUUUUUCUUUUUCAACAAACGAUAAUAGCUUUAUAAAUAUUAACACUUGAUAAUACAAGAAUUACUUACAAAAGGGGCAACUUGGAAAGUCACUUUCCCAAUCUAUGUCAUUAACUAGCUUUGAUGCAAAAAGUGCUAGCCUAUGACUUGCUAUAUUUGGUGUUCUAGGUACCUAAGAUAUUGUGCAAUGGUCAAAAUCUAGUGUUAGGUCCGCAAUGUCUUCCAAGAUGUUUGCUAGAGUUCCAUCUUGUACAUUGUUGCAUCUGAUGUUGUUUGUGUCUAUGAGACGUGAUUAUUUGAUUGAUUGCAAUUAAGAGUUGUUGAAUCUUAGUCAAAUUGAUAUGUGUUGAACAAAGUAAAUAACCUUUACAAUUUGCAUGAGCGGUGGCAAGAUGGCACGGAAAAUGGCAAAGAAGAAUCCAUGUGAAAUGGAAGAAAUAUGAAUGAGCUUGCAGAACCAAUCCCACCAUUUAUAAUUAGAAAGAGAAAAAGAAAUCAACUUAAGAAGAAAAAUGGAAAAAGUGAAACUAGAUUAACAGCAUUGUAUAACUCUUUUACUUUCUUUUUAUACAUUUUAGUUACUACAAUAUUUGUAAAUUUUGUAUUUCAAUUUAUAGAAAAUGUUAUGUAGUGAUAGGUAAGAAUCCUUGUAGAUAUCAUUGUAAUCAUCAUAGAUUUUUGUUCAAUUUGUAAAUUUGUUUGAAGCAUUAUAUAUAUCUAUUAGAAUUGUUGUAUAUAUUGUUAUGACUAGAUUGUACAUUUGGUUGAUUUUUAUAUGCAUCAUACUUAAUAAAGUUAAGGAUAUUUGUUCAAAGAGCAAUUAAAUGAUAGAAGGAUGCCAAAAUUGACAUCCCAACUGUGUUUCUAAGGUUUUUAGUUUGGAGUUUGACAAAAAUGGAAACGAGUGACACUAUGAUUGGGUGUUACAAAUUUGUUGAUAAAAAUCAAAACGUGUACACUCCACAGAAAAAUGCUAAUAUCAACUACACCAAAGUUUCUAGAAUACAUUCUAACUCACGUAGCUACUUUUUAUUGCAUUAUAUCUAAUUUUUCUUUUAUAAAUAUAUAUAUUCAAGUGACUAACACCUAACAUGAUGUACAUUUUUAUAAACUAAUUGUAACUCAUAAAUCACUCCGUGUAAAGUGCUCACAGAUAAAUUAGUACUACUCAUACAAGUAAAAUUAUGCAUCAAUUAUAGGGAGAUGCACAAGUUGAUCAAAUGGUCAAUAACCAUUUCAAAGUUAUGCUUACCAUUGCACUACCUUUCAUAGAUAUAUACAGAUAAGUAACUAAUAUCUAACAUGAUGUACAUUUUUGUAAACUGAUUGUAUCUCAUAAAUCACCUCGUAUAAGUUGCUUAUAGGUAAAUUAGUAUUAGUUAUACAAAUUAAAUUACACACCUACUGCAGCCUGCAAGAAGAUGCACAAGUGGGUCAAAGCACUAAUAAUCAUUCCAAGUGUAUGCGUACCAUUGCACUAUGCAUGUGGCUGCGAUGACUAAUUGCAAUACGCAUGAGUAAUUACUACUUUUUAAGAUUGUCAUAUAUUGACAACUAAAAUUUUACCUAAAUCCACUACUUUCAUAAUAGUGGUAAAUAACUAGUUAAAUUUUUGUUCAAUCAAAAUGUAUGUAACUUAUAAGUAACCAAAUGUAACUAAUUUUCACUAAUUUGUGAAACAAAUUUUUUUUUUGAACAUAUCAUAAAAUGGACUAAAUAGUUUGUAAGGCAUUAGCAAUGGAAAGUCAGUAAAUACUAACAUGAGAUACAACAUCGACAUGUAACUAAUUAACAAUAAAAAGUAAAUUUUUUUUUGCUAAUUGAUAGAAUAGAGUUAUUGCUUUGAAUAUAUUGUAAAAUAGAUUGAGCUAACCAUAAAAGAUUAAUAACAAAUAGUACUUAAAUAUUAACUAAAUAUACAACACUGAUAAACAGAAUCUAAAAUUAAUAAUUUAACUUUUUUUUCCGCUAAUACAUUGUAAAAUGGAUUGAACAUAUGGUAAUGCAUUAAAAACUAAUUGUAAGUACAUUCUAACUAGUAUUACAAGUCUAGCUUAAUGAACUGUCUAAUUGUCCAAUCUAAUUUCUUUACUCCACCAGCAUUGAUUGAUAUCCAUUGAUUUGUCAAAAGAAACUAUCUUUGCCCAUGAUAUACUGCAAAAUAAAAUUAAUAAGAUAUAAUGUGUUAGCAAUUACAUACAAGGUAUAGUUAAUCAGAUCCCAAUUUAUACGCCUAUAUGAACUCUAUGAACCAAUAAACAACUAUAUAGUAAAUUCAUUCUUACAUUAUGUGUAUGUAUGUGACAGUGUCUAUGGGUUAACAACCAAUUACAAAUUCAAACAAUAGAUUAACUUUUGUAAAUUUAUGGCCAUAUAAGCAUACAUAAGAUAUAGUACUACUCCGUACCUACUAAUAACGUGUACACUCUACAGAAAAAUGCUAAUAUCAACUAUACCAAAGUUUGUGAAAUACAUUCCAACUCAUGUAACUACUUUUUGUUGCGCUAUAUCUAAUCUCCCUUUUACAAAUAUACAUAGUCAAGUAAUUAACACCUAACAUGAUGUACUUUUGAAAACUGAUUGUACCUUAUAAAUGAUCUCGUGUAAGCUACUCAUAGACAAACAAGUAUGACUCGUACAAUUAAAUUUACAUAUCCAUUAUAGGGAGAUGCCCAAGUUGAUCAAAGGGCCAAUAACCAUUUCAAAUUUAUGCGUACCAUUGCACUACCUUUCAUAGAUAUACAUAAUCAAAUAACUAACAUCUAACAUAAUGUACAUUUUAGUAAACUGAUUGUAUCUCAUAGAUCACCCCGUGUACGGUGCUUAUAGGCAAAUGAGUAUUAGUCAUACAAAUAAAAUUACACAACCACUGCAGCCUGCAAGGAGAUGCACAAGUGAGUCAAAACACUAAUAACCAUUUCAAUUGUAUGCAUACUACUACACUAUGCAUAUGGUUGUGAUGACUAAUUGAAAGAUGCAUGUGGACAAAUAACUGUAUGUUUCAACAAUUUCUAUGCAUCAUACUUAGUCAGUAACACAGUGUACAUUAUUUCAACCAGAUUGUACAUUUACUAAAUAUUUAUAUAUAUACAUGCUACUUAUUGAAGUAAACUACCUAUCUACUAAAUAUUUAAUGCAUUCUCAUAAGCACUAAUGGUCAAUUUAAUAGGUGAUUGGAACAAAUAACCAUCUAGUAAAAACUUUUGAUAUAAUGUUAUUGAUGAAUAACAUACCAUACAUUCUGAUAAACAUGGUGUACAUCACGCACCUUAUCUAGACAAAAUCCUACAAGUUAUCAAAAGUCAUGCCAUACUUUAAAAGCAAUUACAAGUAGCAAAAUUUAUACAUGUACAGUCAUAUCAAUAGAUUGUAACUUUUAGCUUGCUUUCUAUAUAUUCAUACAAAUACAAGAAUUGUAUAAUACAUAACUCUUGCUUUAUAACAUAAUUUUCCUAACUAUACUUAACAUUUUCCCCUAGUUGUGUGAAGCUUAAACUUCUUUAUCAAUCUAAUGACUUGGUUAUUUUCAGAGUUACUAAUCGACCUAUGAAUAACCAAAAUUAAGGAUAAGGGUUAGUAGAAUUACCUUCGUCUACCUCUACCAUUGUUUUUCAACCUUACUUCGCCAUCCGGAAUAGUGGUGUAUGUACUCAGUUCUAUUUUGCUACCCAAUAUUUGCUUCAGGAUCGAAAUUGCGAGGCAUUAAUACCUGUUGCAUCUGUCUUCUUUACCCUUAAUCGUCAACAGAUCUCCUCUAUAAUGAUGAAACACUACUAUAGCCUGUUUCUUCAGUUUGAAUAGCCCUUAUCCAUCAAGCACAUAUCCCUCACAACACGUUACUUCUCCAGCUUUAACAAAGAAGGAGAAGGUUAUCUCUCAGUAAUUUUCUCAUCCCCAGUUAGAGAGAGAAAUUAGUUUCCUUGAAGAUAAAUAUGAUGUUGAAUUUUCAAUUCCCGAUUAGAAAGAUAAAGUUGUUUUCUUCAACAUUGUGUUAAAUAGUGACUUUCCCAAUUUUAAGUUGAAGCUAACUAUCAAAUUCAAAAUUUCAUUUCAAAAUUCAAACUUUUGAAAGUUCCGUUUAGUUUAACCCAGUCCGUUAAGAUAAGCCAAGUCAAAUUUUUUUUUUUUUAGAUUUUACUAAUUGGAACGAUAACACUUUUGCUUCUCUUGUGAUCCUUGGCUGUGUGGCUCUUUUUCAGCCACAUAUUUAGGCUUGUGAGGACCGUCCCUGCCCCAUAUGGAUGAGAGGCAGGAGCAGUCAUCAGAUGGACCGCUCCUGAACUGUUAAGGGCCAAGAUUUGGCUAUAAAAAAUUGUAAGGUCCAUAUCACUUCUUGUACAUCGAUUUUCACAACGUGUGUGGAGCCCACAAAAUUUUAUUCUAAAAUUACACAUUGUGCAAAUAAAGUUAUACUUGUGCAAACAAAGUUACGUGGUAUGUAAAAUGCAUAAAACCGCGAAGAACAGUUGCAACCGGCAACCGUUCCUGCCCGUGGUCCACCCUAUAUCCGCUCUUUCGCCCUACUGUCCAAAGUAGCUAUAACACCUUUUAGGGGGGAAAUUAAUUACGGAAGGAAAAGAUGAAUGGAAAAUUGAACUUUCAAAUGCAACUAUUGUUAAGGGUUAGAGGCACUGAGCACCCUAACUUGGAGAUAUUUUCACAUUUUUCUUUAACGUUAUUUUUGUUGUAUUUUGCCCCUUCUAUUAAGUCACAUCAACUUUUGUCAUUAAAAAGAAAAGGUCAAAAGUUUCAAUCUUGCCCUUAUCUCCAUUUCCCUUCAUUUUUUUCCUUGUCUAAGUUUCUCAUUUCACACCUUUUUCGUAGGUGUAAUUUCCUUUUUUUUUUUUGAAAAUUAAGAACUAUGUUUCCAAAAUAUUUCACUUCUAUUUUUUUUUAAAAAAAUCUACCAAUAUUAAGCAAACAGAAAACUUUGCUAUUGUUAAAAAUAUUGCACAUUUAUUAUGAACAUCAAUAAAUGGAGGUAAGAUACAAUUGUGGUAAGAUAUCUCUCAAACACGUGUUAGUGAAAAUAUAAAAAUUUUGACAAAAAAUUUUCUUGUUAAAAUUACAUAGCAUUAUUUUUUGGUAUCUAUUUUAUGAUUUUUGUUGUACAUGAAAUGAUUUUAUUUUAAAUUUUACAAUAGAUUUCAAUGGCAUGUAAUUUUUUAAAAAGGGGUUGGAACUCGUUUUAAGGAAAUUCUUCCGAAACAAAAGGAUCGGAUCUUUUUUUCAAGCAUCAUUUCUUCACUAAUUUUUACUUUGAAAUCAUUAAUUUCUUUUUUGAUAAACUGUUAUUGUCGACCAUUAGUUAAAGGGAAAAAGUACAAUAAAAAUAAUGUUAGGAAAAAAAGUGCAAAUGGCAACAAACUUUAGGAGGCUAAGUGCCUUUAACCCUAAGAUUAAUUCUAGUGUUUGAUACUGCUUUGUCUGUGACAGCCCCACCUCCCACUAAAGCGAACCAAAGGGUUCGGCGGACCGCUUGUCCAACUCUCGCAGGGACUCAGUCGUUCACUUCAAUUCUUAAUCAAAACCAGAAUAAAAUCACAGGAAUAAACAUAACAACGAUCCAAAACUUAAAGCAAAACUUAUAUACAUUGCUAUCUCAAAAGGGAGUACAAAUAUCGAAUAUACAAAAGUUAUCAAUUCUUCAUACAUCCAACCCGUGCCAAGCGCUUGGGCGAGAACCAUUACAAAAUCAGAGAUCCAGCCUAAGCUAGUCUAUACAAAACUCCUGUCCUGGUUCGCCUUCCCCUGUUAAGGAAAACGAAACUAAAGGAAUGAGUUAAAAGUUCAGUGAGGUUCCGAACACAUAAUCAAACAGUCAAUUCAAUACAUUAAACAUAGAAUAUCAAUAUUUCACGAUAAUAACACAUUCAUUAAAAGAAUACGGGCUCACAAGGAGCCAUUCAUUCGUUCGUUCAUUCAUUCUCCUAUCAUUCCCCUUAUUCCUCCAAUCAUUUGAAAAUGCGUUUUUGUAAGUAAAACCCUCGUUCGUUCAUUCGUUUCAUUCACCCCCUUCUUGGACGUUGUCCAGGCUCCACCAGAAUUCAAGGUAAUACUCGAGUAUACCAAACGUUCACACCCAGGGUUACCAUAUCGCCCGAUCGAGUCCGCUUCUGGCCCGAGUCGAUCGGUAACAAAGCGUAGGGUCCAGUUCAGCCAAAAGGCUUACAUCAUGCACAUGUAACAUUUCAAUCAUUAAAUCAUUGAAAAUUUCACAUUUUAUUUAGGUCGAGCGCGAUAAAGUACACACUCACCUAAAAAACUCGUUUUGAAAAUCCUGAAAAGCACUUAACACAUUGUCAAACAAUAACACAAGUUAUGAAGUCAAGAAAAAUAUAGCAAACAAGGAACACUCACCUAUUUAUGCAAAAUAACGUGCAAAAUAUCCUUCCGGGUCUUACCCUUAGUCAUCGAGAAAACCUAAAAUUAAACGAGAAAGAAUAUUACAGUUUAUCUAGCAAAACAAUUAUGUGAAAUCGAGAAAACCCGACUAAUUACGAGUAAAACGUAUAAAGAUGACCUUCAAGUGAAAAGCGGGUAUUUGGAUCUGUGGACAGAAAUAACUAGGGUUUCAUAAACCAAACUUAAAACUAAACUCAAAAGGGUUAUAAAAUUUCUAACGGAAAACACUUGGACCAAAGACAAAUCGGAAUCCAACUAGAUAAACUAAAGAAAUAUGUUUUUUUUUGAAUCAUUUGGGUAGUUCAAAAUCAAUAUAUAAUCAAGUAAAUAUUAUACAAAAAAUAUCUUGAUGAAAAGCAUGUGAAAAGGAGGACAAAAAUACCUUAACUUCACACUUAAACCCUUACUUGAAAGUAGUUCAUUUGUGGUCGAGAAAAUCGUAGUUCAUACCUCUAUAUUUUGGUACGGAGUAAGUAAACAUUUGAAAUUUCAAAUUGAAGAGGUAUCAUGUUUUAAAAUGAUAAAACGAUCAUAAUAUUUACCAAGUAGAAAUAUAGGAGUUCAAAUGAAAAAUAUGUUUUCGAACACCCUUCGAGAGCAUCAAAGUAGUUUUCCCAUGAAAUACGCCCAACUUGACUCAAAACACAUUUCUAAAACCAUUUUAACUCACUCACAUUACAAGAAAAUAAACGGACGGUAUUUCCCUCUAAAACUUCAUUUUCUUCCUACAAACAAAUACCCAAACUUGCAAGAAUCAAACACAAUCACACAUUCGGUUUAUAAACAAUAAAACACGUCCAAUUAGGCCACACUAUCCUUCAAUUAAAGCCAAUUAGAAGCUCAAAAGCCUACCAUUAGAAAAUCCCCAAAUUAAACCCUAGAAACCGGAAUUUAUUCCCACAAGCAGAAAUUUUCCGCAAACAACCGCAAUUAACGUAUAAAGGUCCCAUUUAACACCAUUUUAAUCCAUCAAUCCAAGACCAACCCAUGACUAUCAUAUAAAAUCAGAAAAAUACUCAAUAAAUCAGAAAUUGAACCAACUUAACUUAAAACCAUGAAAUCAUCCACAAUAUAGCAUCUCCAACCUUUACAAACCACUAAUUAACCAAUAUUAGCACCAAAAGAGAAUUUCUUAACAACUCACCUUAUGAGCUCAAGAAAGGUAGAAACUUAAGACUUCCCCUCCAAAAACAACUCCACCAAGACCUCUAACCCUGCUUAGCUAGUGCUUGUAGGGAGUAGUUUGAAAAUUCAACGGUGAAAUCUCAAUAUUUGAGCAAAAAUUGAAGAUAGAAAAUGAAGAGCUUUCUUGGUUUUUCUCUCAAGCUAGCCGGUCAAGCAAGGAGCAAAAUGAAGAUAUUUUAGGCCAAAAGUAGGACAAGAAUGAAAGAAACAGCCGGUCAAAGCUGGUGACCGACUGUGACACGUCACAAUCCGGCCAGAUUCCUGGGCGGAUACAGGGCAGAGGCGAAACCAAUUUUUUUUUUUCAAAAUCCUCAAACAAUCCGGCCAAGAUCUGGCCAGAUUUGCGGCCGGAUUUGGUACCAAACAUUUUCAAGAAAAAUUUUCUUUUCUAAACUCACACGCCGUGUUCAUCCGUACUUCCAACGAAUAUAUAUAUAUAUAUAUAUAUAUAUAUAUAUAUACAUAAUCUCACGCAAAUUCAUUUGAUAUACACAACCACAUACUCACAUUUAUAAAUAAAACCUCUUUUUAAAACAAAUGGUUACCAAAUUUUCAUUUGAAACGGAAAGUGAGAAUAAAGAAAAGGUUAAGAAAACGUGAAAAUUUUUAGGGUUCUCACAUUGUCACUACGAACUUACUAGUCCGGAGUUUACUUUUGUCGAAAUGGGAAGGAAAAUUGGGGGGCUAAGUUUUGUUCUGAACUAGACACAAAGUUCGUUAAUUACAUUUUACUUCUCUGGGAACCCAUCUCACCCCCAACUGCCAACAUUCUUUAAUUACACAGUAGUAUCAGAAUCGUGCUUUCACUUUUACGCGUCUAUAACUCUUCUGUUUUUGGACUAUAUUUCUAUAAUUAAAUGGAGUAACAUUUUAUGCCCCCUCAUAAAAAUUUGCGAGAUUCUGAUAUUUAAUAGUUUUUGCACUACAAAUUACAAAAAUCCCGCGUGGCAUUAACCAUACAAUAAUAUUACGCUAAAAAUGGGCUUGGGGAAGUUCAUGCUACAUAAAUCAUACGUUGAGAGAAGAAUGAAGAGGUUCUUGAAAGCUGUUCUUAUUUCUUGAUUAUUACUUCUUCUUUUUUUUUUUUUUUCCAUGAGUCUUUUAACUUUCAUCACUUAAGAUAAUAAGUUAUUAAGACUGGAAAUUGUUUGUUGAAUCAAUCUACCUGCAGGUUUUGAGUCUUCCCAAGUCUUCCUUUAUAGUCAUCUUCUUAUUCUUGAAUUUCACUCACAUUAUUUUCUUGUCACUUGUAAAGGAGUCUUCCCACGUCUUUCGUUUGCCGUCGUCUUCUUUUUAUUUUUCUUUUUCACAUCGUUUCCUUUUCAGCUGUUGUCAGUUAUGUGUAAUCGCCAAUGGGAAUUGUUACCUUGGAGAGCAAGUGUCAAAAAAUAAGGAAAGUAAUAUCUUCAAAUCUUGUGAUUACGACUUUAAUAGCAUGGUACUAUAUCUGGUGGUUUUUCUCGUUUGAAUUAACUCAGAAAAAGAAAAUUAUUGACUCGUUAACUUCAUGGCUAGUCCAGUCAAGCAUGGACAAAUUUACAGAUCUUUGGGCAAACUUUGGCAUUCUUGAUUGGAUUGAAGUUUUUUUGCAGAAAAGUUUUUACAUGAUCGCAUUUCUCAAAUACCCUUUUAUUUCAUAUAUAUAAAAUUGUUAUAGUAUAUUUUUUUUUAUAAUAAUAUAAAAAAAAAGACAAUCCAAACGAGUGCAUGUGUAGACUAAUUGGCUAACUUCCUCAAAUUUUGUGUGUGUUUGAUUGGCGGAUUUGUUAUUGUAUCAAAGAGAUUCGAUGAACACAAUUAUGAAGUGUAUGGAAACGAAGCUCACGGUCAAGGACAAAAUAAUCAGUUAAUUGCAAUGAAAAUAUAGAUGACUCCACAAUAUAUACGACUCCUCCUUCACAACAAUAUUCCCUUGAGUCCUACUCUUUGUGUAAAUAUGGCUGCAAACGAAUUCAGCCACUUGCGAGUAGUUCAAGCCAAAACUCGACCCGAGUUUGGUUAACGAACUGAUCAAAUCGAACUCGAACUUAAAGAAACUCAAUUCGUCAACUCGCAAGUUGACUCGAAUAUAUAUAUAUAUAUAUAAAUUAUAUAUAUAAUUUUAAUAGUAAAAUUAUAAUAUAUAUAUAUAUAUAUAUAAGUUCUUAAUAUUUUAUUAUUUGUUAUGAAAAAUUAUUAUUUUAUUCAUUUAUUAAAAAAUAAAAUAAUUAUUUUUUUAUUUUUUUUAUCUCAAGCACAAACUUUACAUUGAGAACUCGAGCUCGAAUUCGAGUUUGAUAAAACUAAAUCGAGACUCGAUUCGAUUAGGUCAAAAUUCGAUUCGACUCAACUUGUUUGCAAAUAAGUUGUUAUCAGAUAAGUUGAUAAAACCAGUCAUUAGAUAGUUAAAUAAGUUGUAAAAGAUUGCUCACAGUGUAAUAGUUCAAGAAUGCCUUUCAAUCAGAAAAAAAGUAAAAUUAUUUAUGUUUCAACCCUUCUUUCAACUUGCUUCUGGUACAAAACAACAAAUAGAAGUUAUUGAGAGCAAGAGAAUGAGAGUGGGGGAAUCAACUCCAUUAUCUUAGACCAAUGGCUUCUUGGACUAUUGGCCAUCACAAAGGCUUCUCAAUUCCUUUUGAGGUGGGAGUUCAAGGUUUUGAACCUUGCUCCUAUCAUUUGUCAUUCUAUGUGACUUCGCCAAAUUCAGUCGGUGUCGGUUUAGUUUUCUCUGGUUCUUAAUGACCUAGUUGAAUCUAUUCCCAUUUUCAUAGAGUAGAAGUAAGUGUAGAUUGUUGACGUUUGUAUGGGAAAAGAAAAAAAAAAAAAAAAAAACCUCCGUUAACUUAAGAUGGGGAUUUGGGGAUUGGGUAGAUAAGUCCCGAAUUUGGCCUCAGGAGUUACCACUAUGGCUUUUGAGGUUAAUUUGGGAUUAGGUUUAACUACUAAUUCUUAAAAUUUCUGAUAAAAAAAAACUUAAGAUGCCCAUUGUAUUGGGCUAACCCAGAGCUUAGACCAAAAACAUUUUCGUGGACUAUAUGUUUAUAUGUACGUCAAUUUCGGACUCCUGCUCCAGUUAAAAGCAUCCCAAUCCUGAGCAGAGGUGCAUUUACUUCGAGACAUUUGUAAAUGGGAACUUUGGAAGACUGGGACAAUGGGCACACAAGGAAACUUGAAGUCCUUAUGAUCAUCUAAUCAGUGCUCCUUAACGAACAGGAGAGUUCAAUCCGGAACCUUAUGAUCAUCUAAUCAAUGCUCCUAAGUCCUAUCCGAUUAACAAAGUUCUUCUCAGAAAGAAAGAAAAUUCAUCAUAACAACUGGAUUGGGCUCCUCUCUAGUACUCAUUCCUUCUAGUUUUCCUUAUCCAUCGUUUGGUACACAGAAAUAUCCAAAAUGUUAACGACUCACAAGAAUCCGCAGCAAUUUCCUUGAUUGUAAAUUAACCUUGACGACAAUAAAGAUGUGAAUUAAUGACUUGCAAGAAUCUGCAGCAAUUUCCUGAAUUGCAAAUUUACCUUGAUGACAGCAGAGAUAACAUGUCAUGUCAAACUAAAGCAGCGUACAACAGUAAGGAUUGAGAUCCUCUACCGUCAAAUUAGUAAAUGCAAAGUGCCGUUAAAGGUAGGAAAUGGGGUAUUUUGAAAUUGAAUGGAGGAGAUUAAAGGUCAAACGCUAAUUUUAAUGUGUCAAAAAAGUUUGUUGUGUUUUUUCACUUUAUUGUAUUAUCGUUCAUAUUUAUUAUGUUAGUAUCUACAUCAAUUAUGUCAUUAUUGUCCGCACUGUCUUCAAUACCAAUGACAGCAGAACCCCCUAAAAACAUGCUUGAAUAUCAGCCAAUAUUCAGGCCCCAUAUCAUAUGCAUGUGUAUCAGCUUGUAUAGCAUAAAAAUUUAAGAAGUCUUACAGUAACCAGCACAACAAUCAUAAAUUUAAAAAAAGCAAUGAAGAAAAAGAACAAAACCAACAAAAGGGCUCCCAUUGCAAUCGAAAACAUGACCGAAAAGGCUUAAAGAAGGAAUGAAUCAGGGAAAAGAAGAAUGAGUGAUAGUAUUAUUAGCUGACCAGAAUUGAACUUAGAGUAGUUAUCAGUUACUGGUCUGCGGCUGAUGAAGAGUAGACAAGAUUUUACGAGAGGGGCAGGGAAUCCCUUAUCAGCUAUGACACGGGUUGGAAAGAUAGGACUGAAUGGGAAGUUGCGGACAACAAAUCCAGUCACAUUUUAGUAUUGGAAUCCAAACACAUCCUGGAGGAAGUUUUUUAAUGCUAGCACGAAUGCUCCACUCAUGUUUUAUUGUAAACAAAUAGCAAAUUAAAAAAAAAAAAAAAAACAAAGCAAUAGUACUUUUACGAUUUUUCAAUGGCCAAGUAAACAAAGGUAUUAUGACAUUCAAUCAGCAUAAGCAGCAAUUUUGUCCAUUAUCUCUGCAACAAUCUCUUAGACUCCCUCAGCAACUUGAUGCUUGCAUUCAUCUGUAACGUUUACCAGCAAUAGAUGGAGAUUCCUCCAGCAUCCGUUCCAAUGCACCCCUGUGAGUUCCCAUUAACUCAUUCACCAUUUCGGUUUCCAUGUCUUUGUUCACCAGAUUUUGGAUGCUGAAAGAGUAAAUGCAAAGCCAUGCUAUCAACAACUCCUCAGGACAAUCUUCCAAUAAGCAGUCAUCCUCAUUUUCAGAUCAAAAGCUUGUUGUGCAACGACCAGAUGAUUUCUCAGAUGCCCGACUUCAACCUCACCAAUUCCAUCAAUCUCUAGAGUUGUUGAUUUCGUACAAUCAUUCAUAGAUCAUGAACCUGAACCUGUCCUGGCUUUCAUCAGAUCAUGCCAGGUUGCAGAGUACUCAGGAUUACAAGUAUAAUCAGGUGAGUUUUUCUCCAUUUCGAUAAUCUGCAAUACCCAAUCAACUGACUGCUCCUUUUUUGGAAACAAGACUUUGGGCAGCUCUUCUGAUUGAAGGUUGAAGUUGUGGGUAGUUGUCAGAGUGCUUCAUCAAGACAGAACUAACACCCCUUGUAAAUACUCCCAAAACUUGUUCACAAAUCCUGCUGGUGUAGCGGAAAUGGCCUGACCAUUUUUUGUAGUGAAGUGAGAAAAGCUGUGCGAUGAAGGAAAUUAGGUAAGCUUAUACCUUUAGCUUCCUCCAGGAUGCUAAUCUCUUCCUCCAAGAACUUCUGCUUUUGUUCAACUUUGAUAGAGAUGAACUGCAAAUCCCAUAGUAAUCGCUCAGCAUCUCUGCCAGUCUAGCAGUACAAUGCAUUUCUUUUUCAUCUGGAUACUCAUCGAAUUCCCCUCUGAUAAAUAUUUUUCUCAGUGACUCUUUGGCUGAAGAUAUGAUACGCAUAAAAGCAGUGACUGCUUCAGGAACUGAGUGCAACUGUUGUGGCAACUUGUUCAGCUCUGCAACACUUGCAGUUAGCUUGUCAUUGAUCUUUCUCACAAUAUCUGGCAAGCAUUUUGAAAUUAUAGUUGCCUGAAUUUGCACCAGUUUCUGGGCUAAAACAGGAAUGCCAACCAUAGACUUGUGGAUCUUGGACAGCAACGGAUGUGUUUCAAAAAGCGUAGCUUCUACAGCUCGAGCUUCCUCGUAUGAUUCAUCUCCAAUUCGAUUUCUCACACAGACGUAUCCAAGUUCAAUAUUCACAUCAUCAGCCGUUACCUUCUCGAGCAAGCCUUCAGGGGAUUUGUCUGCCUUGGUGACAACUGCCAGAGUUCUUUCACCCAUUUUGUCAACUUUUUGGGACAUCCGAAUUGAUUCACAAGUAGAAAAAUCAACAGUAGCUGAUAAAACAUUGAGUAUUAUGCUUUCUUCUGGUUUAAUAUACUCCAUAAUGAUUGCUGAUAUUUGCUCAUAGAUGUCUUCAGGCUGCCCGUGAACUGGAACUCUAGUAAUCCCAGGUAAAUCCACCAUAGUAAGAUCAGGGACCCCAUUCUUCUUAACAAUCAAAGUCAGGGGAACAUUUGAUAUUCCCUUGCUUCUGCCAGCAAUCUCAUCAGUUGCAACGCUGAUGGCCUGAGCAAUAUGGUCCUCAUCGGUUGGAACAACUCUUCCGUUAAACUCCAAGCUCACCUCUGGCUUGGGACUGGGAUGACUUUGCAGCCUCAUAAUCAAGGGAACCCUUGUGCAGAUCCCUUGCCCUCUAGGUAGGCUAAUGCCAGCCAGUGACUCUAGAACGCUAGACUUUCCUGAAGAUUGAUCUCAACAACAACAAUUGUUGGAAGCUGGAUUCCUUCUUGCAUGACUUUAAGGUUUCGUAGCCUGUCUAUGCAGUCCAGCAAUGGCCUAAUGCGUUCAUUGUAGGAUGAUACGAUGGGGCUAGCGUUUCUUCUUGAACAGCUUGAACGAGGUCUUUGAUCAUGGACAGCUCGAACGAGUUCUUUGGUGAUUUCUUCAGAAACAACAUUGGAGCCGCUGCUUAGUACACUCAUGUGUAAUUUCUCGUGGUUGUUGGUUUUGAGUGUUUCUAUUAUAUUGUCGCUGGUAAAAAGAUUCGGAACUUGGAAGGGAAAAAGGAGAUGAAAGAGCAAGAGAUUUUCAGAUUUGGUGAUAGGAAAUUUGGAUUUGUGGAUACUUUAUAGGUGAUUUUUUAUGUUGAUCUCAGUACCAUCUCUUUUCUUGGAUGAAAUACGGUGUUCCAAGAAUUGAGAUAGAAAUACGAAAUCUAUGAAAUUAGUUAAAUGAUCAACCAAGCAAAACAAUAGCAUCUUUUGAAGUAGUUAACUCCAAGGUAAAUCAGCACAGAUUCCUUAACUCGCUCUGCAGGGUGGAAAGCUGAUGCUUGACUUGCUUUUCUCUCAUCCUUUGCCAACUGGAAAGUAAAAGUUCAUCGAAAAUCAGCUAUAACCCUUCGAUUGAUCAGCAGACUAAUUAGCAGUGUAAGAUAGAAUUACUUUGUUAUAUCAUACCCAAAUUAAUCGUGACAAUCAAAAGACUUGGGAGGUCAUUAAAUUGUUCUUUUCCUUCAACUUUACGUCAUACUUGUGCUUCACCAUUUGCGUCAUGGGAUCCAAUAAUGAGUGUACUAUUGUUAAUUUAUUAUUCCUUCUGGUGGAAAUUGGAAACAAGCUAGUGGGAUCAAUUGACUUCUUUUCUUUGGCCAUGACAAAGGAAAAUGUUCGAUCUUACAAAGGUAGGCAAACAUGGAAAAAGCUUGCACCCCCGCUCUUUCGCCUCACAAUCCAAGUAGCUAUCACCAUUUAGGGGGAAUUAUUUGACAGUCUUUUGUGUUUGAAUUGAUUUUUCUGAAUUUUGUAAAAAAAUUAUUGUAACGAUUUGAUAAGUGUGAAAUAAAAAGGUGAUUCGGAAUUGUGUUUACGGAACCCCACAAUCCAAAGUAGCUAUCACGUUUAGGGUGAAUUAUUUGACAGUCAUUUUGUGUUUGGAUUGCAUUUUUCUGAAUUUUUUAUAGAAAAAUUAUUGUAACGAUUUGAUAUAUAUGAGAUAAAAGGUGAUUCGGAAUUGUGUUCACGGAAAACAUUCUAAUGCAAUCAUUCACGGAAUUGUGUUCACGCAAUUUUUCCAAACAUUCUAAUGCAAUUAAGAUUAAUGUGAAGAAUCCUAUUCCUAGGCUGUAAGAACUAAGAAGACCGAAAAACAUAAUGCAUAAAAUAGUCAAUUGUUUUCUAACGCAAUUAUAUUGUAUUCUUUACGUUAGCUGAAGAAUGAAGAGGUUUUUAACAUUAACAAUUGUGCUUAUUUCUUCUUUCUUCACGAGUCUUUUAACUUUCACUUAUGAUAAGUUAGAGGAAAAAUGGCCAAUUUUGUCCUUAAUUUUUUUAAGGGUGCUAAUUUAGUCCCUAACUUUUAUUUCUGAUCAAUAUGAUAUUUGAACUUAUGGUGCAUCACUAGUUAAAAACGAUCUUACUUCUCAUUGGCUAAUUAAAUAGUGGUAUUACGAGAACAUUACUCACGAGAAUGUAAUAAAACAAGCAAAUCGUCUAAAAAAUCACUAAUAAAACUUUUAAAUUGUGUAAAAAAAUCACCAAAUAAACUUUUUAAAGUUUAAUCUUGUGACUUUUUACUAUACAGUUUCGUAAGUGACGUUUUCAAAAUAUCUUCUUUAGUUGGUCAAUUAGGAGUCAGAUUGGUUUUAGGUGGCACCGCCACCAUGAAGGUCCUUAAUUGGAACUGCAAUUAAGUUCGCAUAUUAAAUUGAUUAGAAAUAAAAGUUAGAAACUAGACGGCACUAGUAAAAAGUUUAGAACGAAAUUGGUCAUUUUCCCUAAAAGAUAAGACUGGAACAUAUUUGUUGAAUCAGUCCAGCUAUGUGUAAGUUUCAAGUCUUCCCAAGUCUUCAAUAGUAAUGUGAUUACGACUAAAUAGCAUAGUACCUAUAUCUAGUGGUUUUCUUGAUUGAAUUAACUCAGAGAAAGAAAACUAUAAUAUUGUCUCAUUACAUUAACUACAUGGCUAGUCUAGCCAAGCAUGGCAAAUUACAGAUCUUCGGGCAAACUUUGGCAAUUUAAAAGGUCUUGUUUAUAUUGAAGAUUUUUUGUAGAAAAAUUUUUACGUUUUUCGUGAUUUCAUUUUUCGGAUACUUUUUUAUCUCGCAUACAUCAAAUUGUUAUAGUAUAUUUUUUGCUUAAAAUUCAAAAAAUGAUGAUCUAAACGAGACCUAAGUAUGUGUAUAGACUAAUUGGCUAACUUCUUCAAAAUUUUUGUGUACUUGAUUUGGCGGAUUUAUUAUUCUAUCAAAGAGAUUCGAUGAACACGAUUAUGAUGUGCAUGGACACGAAGCUCACGAUCAAGGCUAAAUAAUCAGUUAAUUGCAACGAAAAUGUAGAUGUCUCUACAAUAUAUAUACACUAUUUCUUUACAACAUUAAUAUUCCCUUGAGUCCUACCCUUGUGUAAUACUAGUAUUAGUUUUGUGAACCAAUGUAAAAAAAAAAAAAACAAUAUAGUCAAAUAUCCUCUAGUAUUAGUUUCGCUUGAACAAUAGUCGUUUCUCUUACCCAAACAAGAGGACUAUAUAAUCCUAAUAUUCUAACAAUGAGAAAUAAAUUACUCCCUCCGUCUCAAUUAUUUUGUCAUGUUUCGAGAAUCCAAUAUUCUAAAAAUAGUGAUUUAAUUAUGAUGCUUGUAUUUUUUUUCUCAAUUUUACUCCCACAAAUUCAAAAUAUGAAUUUGAAUAAUAAUAUGUAUAUGCUUAAAGGGAGGAACUAUAUUGGAAGUAGAGACUAAAUAAUGUUUUAACUUUCUGAACAUUACAAAUACUUUGAGACAUUCCAAAAUGAAAAAUAUGACAUUUCUACGAAACGGAUGGAGUAAUUCGUACCGAACAAAAAGUCUAGCCAAAAUAUCCAAUACAUGAUGUGAUAGCUCAAUCUUCCUUAGGGCGUACGCUAAGGUUAGCGGAUUGUCUGCUCAACUCUCGUCAGGAUUAACUAAUCCAAAAUUUUCAGUAGGUAUUAAAACAAACAACAUAAUUUCAAAACACCGCAACCUAAAGUUAUAUACAAUUCAAGCUUAAAAUACAAGUUAAAAUAUUUAAUUUUAUACAAAUACAUAUAAGGUUUAUUAAUACAGAAGAGUUUAAACAAAAUGUCUAAGGUUUAAACCUAGCUCAACUCUUUCCCAAAAUCACCAACCCAAAUCUUUGCCCCUGAAAGGAAAACAAGGAUAACGGAAUGAGCUUUCGCCAAUGUGAUACCACAGGUUACGCAAUCAAAAAUCACAUAAUUCGAACUUUAAACUAUCAAAUAUAAGCACCAAUUAGGGAGAUAAGUAAACACCACAACUAACACAAAGUGCUUCAAAUAAAAAGAUACAGUUGGCUCUCAGGAGCCAAAUUCUCAAUCGCAUUAGUUUGAUCCAAAUCCGUUGACACUCCGUCAACGUUUACAGAAACAGAAAUAUUGACCGUAGAUCCCUGCUUUACACCAGUUUCCGUCUACCAAUCAUACCGUUACCUGGUCCAAACACCAAACAGAAACAGUGGUGGUAAUAUUCGAGUAUAUCAAAUAUCAGAAGAAUUCAAACUCUGAUACCACCUAUGACGACCCCACCUUCCCCUAGGACGUGGCCUAGAGGUUAGCGAACCACCUGCCCAACUCUUGCCAAGACUCACUCACUAACAUUAAUUUCAGAGAUCACAUUAACUCCAAAGUAAGCACGAAACUCUCUAAGAAAUGUUACAAAUCAUCCAACUUCAUAAAACAUCCAUACUUAGGUGGACAACUAAACAGAUCAAAAUACAAGUAGUUCAAUCAAAUCACUAAAUAUAAAUAGGAUGGCAUUUACUUAAAAUGAGGACUACAACUUUUCAACUCACUAUUUUUUGGAUAUCAAAUCAAUAACACCAUAAUUUUUCAAUAUAGCAUCUAUAAGCUACAAAUCGUCCAAAUACACAAAUCAAAGUACAAACCAAAAGAUAAGAACUUGAACAUCUAGUAUCAUAGUACAAUGUCAGCCAAAUACAAGUUUAAAAUUUCUAUUACAACUAGUACUAUUCUUGUCUCUUUCAUCCCCACACCCUGCUAAGGAAAACAAAUAAAGGGAUAAGGUAAAAAUCUAGUGAGGUUUCAAGUAUCAUGCAAGCAAAGUACCAAUCUUAGAGCAAGUAAGAAAAUGGUAACUAAAUAAAACAAUAACAAGCAACUAGGAAACAAGUAGCACUUUCAAAUCGAAGGAUACAUUUCCCUCAUAUUGGCUGCUUAACUCGUAAUCGUUGACAUUCCGUAAACCUUGGAAUACACUGUCAAGUCUAGUAGAUCACCACUUCACACCAUCUCCAACCACCGAUCAUCCGCCUUACCGAGCCAGCACGCCAAUCAAGUACAAGUGGGAUAAUACUCGAAUAUACCAAGGCCAAUAACAAGAUAUAAGACCCAUGGUUUAUCGGUCACCUUGACCAAAUCCUUACUGGCUCGAUUUGACCAACUAACCAAUGGGGAUGGGAUCCCAAAACAAGUAUAGUCGGUGAAAUAAUAACUCCAACCGGCUUUCAAGUCAUGCACGGAUAUAUCGGUUCACAAGUAAACAAGUCAACAAAAAUUCAAACAAGUUAGUUGAGUGCGAUAAAGUACACAUUCGCCUUUUCAAUAUCAAAUCAAGAUAUCUAGUAACAAGUCACAUAGUUCAAGUCAUGCAGUUGAAACACUCACCAAAAUAAAUGGACAAUCACAUCUCGAUUUUAGGAUUUUCUUAACUCACUACUGACUCUUGAAACACAUCCAAGCUAUAAUUACACUUAUCAUCUUGAUCAAAACAAGUAAAAAACACAGAAGAUCCAAUUUUAAAGUUAUCAAACGUGUAGGUUAAAAGGUAUAGGAUUUUGCAACCAAAUGCAUGAAUAUAAGUGUGAGGAUCAAAAACAACCUAAGAGGGGGGUGAAUUAGGUAGGUUGAAAAUUGGCCAAAUUAUGAGUCACUUUUUGAGUACUUGCCCUCUUUUUCUAAAAGACCACACAAUGGAGCAAUGAAUGAGAAAGCACAAGUGCUUAUGAGUAGAAGAGAUGAGCAAUUUAUUUAUCAAGAUAGAAAGUAAAAGAGAUAGAGUAUCAAGCCAAAUACCAAACUCCUCUUGAGUUUGAAUGUCACUUUAAAGAGCAAGCUUCUUCAAGUUGAUCAACUUACAACCAAUCUUUUGUGUACAAAGGAAGGAUCACUUCCUCCUUGCCCCAAGCCACACUUGGUCAAGCAAGGAAGUUUUACUAUUACUCGGAUAACCCUCACAGAGCUACACUUUAAAUGUUGUUCAGAAGAUUAAUGGCAAAGAAGUGGAUCUGUCCUUAAUUGGUAACCACAUUCACUGUUGGACGAUUUUGGCUUCAUUAAAAUCACACAUGUGAAGAGACCAAAUAAUGUACCUGCCCAUAUUAUGUCAAAAUUGGCUUUGUUUCUUGAAGAAAGUAGUGUUUGGUUUGUAAACUUUCCCAAGAUAGUAACUGAAGCUGCUCUUGCAGAUUUGGUACAAAUGAAUAUGUUUCUGUUGCUUCAAAAAAAAAAGAGCAAAUUUAAGGGAAAAAAAAACAACAACAACGACAAAGCAAUGGUACUUUUAUGAUUUAUCAAACGGCAAAGAAAACAAAGGUAUUAUGACCAAUCUAAUCAGCAUAAGCAGCAAUAUUGUCCAUUAUCUCUGCAACAAUCUCUUUAGACUCCCUCAGCAACUUGAUGCUUCUAUUCAAUCUGUAACGUUUAUCAGCAAUAGAUGGAGAUUCCUCCAGCAUCCGCUCCAAUCCACCCCCGUGAUGUCCUAUUAACUCAUUCACCAUUUUGGUUUCCAUGUCUUUGUUCACCAGCUUUUGGAUGCUGAAGAGUAAAUGCAAAGCCAUGCUAUCAACCAACCUCCUCAGAACAAUCUUCCAAUAAGCAAUCAUCCUCAUUUUCAGGUCAAAAGCUUGUUCUGCAACAACCAGAUGUUUUCUCAGAUGCCCGACUUCAACCUCACCAAUUCCAUUAAUCUCUAGAGUUGUUGUCUUCCAACGAUCAUUGAUAAUGUCCAUGAAUGUGUCCUGGCUUUCCAUCAGCUUAUGCCAGGUUGCAGUGUACUCAGGAUUACAAGUAUAAUCAGUGAGUUUCUCCAUUUCGAUGAUCUGCAGUACCCAAUCAAUUGACUGCUCCCUUUUUUCGGAAACAAGAUUUUGGGCAGCUCUUCUGAUUGAAGACUGAAGUUGUGGUAGUUUUCAGAGUGCUUCAUCAAGACAGGAACAAACACCCCUUGUAAAUACUCCCAAAACUGCUUCACAAAUUUAGCUGGUGUAGCAGAAAUGGCAUUGACCAUUUUUUGCAGUGAAGUGAGAAAAGCAGUGCGCUGAAGGAAAUUAGGUAAGCUUAUACCUUUAGCUUCCUCCAAGAUGCUAAUCUCUUCCUCCAAGAACUUCUGCUUUUGUUCAACUUUGAUAGAAAUGAACUGCAAAUCGUCAGAGUAAUUACUCAGCAUCUCUGCCAGUCUAGCAGUACAAUGCAUUUCUGUUUCACCAGGAUACUCAUCAAAUUCGCCUCUGAUAAAUAUUUUUCUCAGUGACUCUUUGGCUGAAGAAAUGAUACACAUAAAAGCAGCGACUGCUUCAGGAACUGAUUUUAUGUGUUGUGGCAACUUGUUCAGCUCUUCUACACUUGCAGUUAGCUUGUCAGUAAUCUUGCUCACAAUCUCCGGCAAGCAUUUUGAAAUUAUAGUUGCCUGAAUUUGCACCAAUUUCUGUGCUAAAACAGGAAUGCCAACCAUAGACUUGUUGAUCUUGGACAGCAGCGGAUGUAUUUCGAAAAGCAUAGCUUCUUCAGCUCGAGCUUCCUCGUAUGAUUCCUGGCCAAUAUGAUUUCUCACGCAGACAUAUCCAAGCCCAAUGUUCACAUCAUCAGCUGUUACCUUCUCAAGCAAGCCUUCGGGGGUUAUGUCUGCCUUCGUGACAACUGCUAGUGUUCUUUCGCCUGUUUUGUCAACUUUUUGGGACAUCCGAAUUGAUUCACAAGUCGAAAAAUCAACAGUAGCUGAUAAAACAUUGAGUAUUAUGCUUUCUUCUGGUUUAAUAUACUCCAUAAUGAUUGCUGAUAUUUGCUCGUAGAUGUCUUGAGGCUGCCCGUGAACUGGAACUCUAGUAAUCCCAGGUAAAUCCACCAUGGUAAGAUCAGGGACACCAUUCUUUUUAACAGUCAAAGUCAAGGGAACAUUUGAUAUUCCCUUUCUUUUGCCUGCAAUCUCAUCAGUUGCAACGCUGAUGGCCUCAGCAAUAUGGUCCUCAUCGGUUGGAACAACUCUUCCACUGAACUCCAAGCUCAGCUCUGGCUCGGAACUAGGAUGACUUUGCAGCCUCAUAAUCAAGGGAACCCUUGUGCAGAUCCCUUGCCCUCUAGGUAGGCUAAUGCCAGCCAGUGACUCUAGAACGCUAGACUUUCCUGAAGAUUGAUCUCCAACAACAACAAUUGUUGGAAGCUGGAUUCCUCUUGCAUGAGUUUAAGGUUUCGUAGCCUGUCUACACAGUCAAGCAAUGGCCUAAUGCGUUCAUUAUAGGAUGAUACGAUGGGGCUUGGAUUGCAAUGGUUGGAUUGCAAGUGGUCCUUCUUCAUGAUGACCAACGAGGCUUUGAGAUUGCCGAUCCCUUUGCUGAAUGCCCUCAUGUUUAAUUUUCUUGUGGUUGUUGGUUUUGAGAGUUUCUGUUAUAUUGUCGCAGGUAAAAAGAUUGGGAACUUGGAAGGGAAGAGGAGAUGAAUGAGCAAGAUAUUCUCAGGUAUGUUAUAGCAAAUGUGGAUCAGUGGAUGAAUUUAUAGGUGGUUUCUGAUGUUGAUCUCAGUACUAUCACUUUUCCUGGAUACUCAAAAAAAAAAAAAAGAAAUAAGAUGUUCAAGAAUUGAGAUAGAAGAAAUCUAUGAAAAAAAAAUUAAAUGAUCAACCAAGCAAAACAAUAAUUCAGUUUCAACAUUUUUUAAAGUAGUUCAAUUCCAAAAGGUAAACGGCACAAAUUCCUUAAAGCAGUUCAAUUCCAAAAAGGUAAAACGGCACAAAUUCCUUAAUUCAGCUUCAACAUUUUUAGCUUUACAAAGUGUAAGACUGACGCUUGACUCAUCAGGAAAAUAAAUUCAUCAAGAAUCAGCUAAAAACGCUUUGAUGAUCAGUAGCCUAAUCACUGGUGCAAGAUAGAAUUGCCUGUUACAUCACACCCUAAUUAAUCGUGAUAAUCAAAAGACUUCAAGAUAAUUAAUUUGCCCUUUUACUUCAAGCUUAUGUCAUACAUGUGCUUCACCAUUACUUGAGGAAUCCAUUGCUCCAUGGGAUCCAAUAAUCAGUGUACUAUUAUUCCUGGUGUAAACACACUAGUGGGAUCAAUUGACUUCUUUGGAAACGCUUGAAGAAUUAACACCGUCCAUGCCAAAGGAAAGAGUUCGAUCAUUUCCCAUGACAAAGGAAUAGGGUUCGAUCGUACAAAGGUAGGCAACCAUGAAAAUGCUUGCUGUGGUAAAAGUUCUGUACCUUUAGACUCUUUUGAAUAAUAUCACAGCAUAAAGUGCAACAUGGGGAUAUGAAUUGAUUUGUAUACUAUUACUCCUUUCGUUCCAUUUAAAUGUCAUACUUUUCAUUUUGUAAUAUUUUAAAAUGUUUAUUAUAUUGAGAAAGUCAAAACACUUUUUAGUCGCUCCUUUCGAUACAGUCCAUCCCUUUAAUCAUAUGUAUGUUAUUAUUCAAAUUCAAAAUUUGAAUUUGUUAGGGUAAAAUUGAAAAGAGAAGUACAAAUAUCACAAUUAAAUCACUAUUAUUAAGAGGUUGGAUUCUCGAAACAUGACAAAUUAAUUGAGAUGGAGGGAGUACAUCAUAUAAUAUUGGUAGUAGUUUCUUUGAAUUUUUCAGGAUUAUACUUUCAUCACGUGUCUGUAACAUUUUUGUUUUUGGUCUUUACGUCUAUAAUUAAAUGCAGUAACUCUUUAUGCCCCUCAUAAAAAUUCUCAGAAUAUGACAUUUAUAGCUUUUGCACUACAAAAUUCCUCUGUGGCAUUAUCCAUACAUUUUAUGCUAAAAGUAUGCUUGGGAAGUUCAUGCGAAGAUAAGUCACAUAAGUUAGGAGAAGAAUGAACAUCUUCUUAUUCUUUUUACAUUGUCUUGUCACUCAACAAGUCUUCCUCAUAUAGUCUUCUCCCUUUUCAUUUUUCACAUUGUUUGCUUUUCAGUUCUUCUUACUUCUUAGGCCUCGUUUGAGAUUGCAGUGCAUUUUCAAAAAAAUGUGCUUUUAAGCACUAAAAAUAUUUUAAAGGUGUUUGAUAACUAAUUUCUCCUAAUUUAAAGAGGCCAAUUUUUAGUAACCUAAAACACUUUGUUAAAAGCACUUAUACAAAAAUGUUUCUUUAUAGCAACCGCAAACAGAGCCUUAAUCAUGUAUAAUCGCCUGUGAGAGUUGUUAUCACAGGGGAGAAGUGGGAAUAAAAGAGAAGCAUAAAUCCUCGUAUGAGAGUUGUUAUCAUAGGGCUACAAUUUUCCCAUCCCAUAUUUGAACUCUCUCUAUUUGAGAGCUUCUCUCUCUAGUUUGAGAGCUUCCCUCCUGCGAUAGGAGUUUUCAAAUUUCGAAAGCCAGUGGCAACCUAAAAAAGAAAGAAAUCUGAGAUUCAGAGUAAAGAAUAGUGACUCUUCAACUUCCGUACAACUACAAGCAUCCAAAUAUAGCAAUAAUAACCCUUUGGUGUGUUUACGCCUCUAUUUUUCUGGUGUGAAAAUGGUCAUGAUCCCGGGAACUGUAGAAGGAUGCUAACCGUAGAGGAUAUCGGUGUGUGUGUUAGAAGAAUCUGAGUGGGUUGGGUAGAGGUCUUGUUUAGUUUUUCAGCUUGUACUUGGUUUUCUAAGCUUUCCCGUACCUUGUGUUCUUCUACUCUGUUUUGCAGGUUUAUGCAACUGGAGUUCCGCGAAAGGAAAUAGUGCAAAGGUGGUGUCAAGUAGCUGGAUUUCUAGUAGAUGGAUGAGGAGUUAGCUCGUGCUUUCGGCAAAUUCAAGCUCUCUACAACGGAGCUGGAAGGGGUAGAUCUCUGUUCGGAUGAUGUUAGAGAGGGUAUGCAAGAAUGUAGUAGGAGCCUAGUUGGAAGGGUGAUAGGUGAUAAGGUGGCACAUUUUACAGGGGUUAAAACUUUACCUACCAUGCUUGGGGUAUCCCAGAAACAUGGUUGUAACUGAGCUAGGACCUAACCUCUUUCAAUUCCAGUUUGAAAAUGAAGAUGACCGUGAAAAAGUGCUGGUGGAGGGCCGUGGAUUCUGGACAAUCAGAUCCUUGUGAUAAAAGAAUGGGAGAUGGGAUGUGAAAGAAAGCUUCACUACUUUAGAUAUGCUUACUUAUGGGUACAGAUCUGGAAUCUUCCAGUCCACUGGUUGUGUAGAACAAUGGGUUUUAAGUUAGGGAAACUCUUUAGAUCAGUAAGGGAGGUAAUUUGUCCACCAGGGGGAAGAAGGCAGGCAUAUGAAGAUAAUGGCAGAGGUUGAUGUACUACAACCCCUCCCGAGAGGAACCUUGGUGAAGCUGGAAGGAGUGAACACCUGGGUGGAGUUUAAAUAUGAGCGAUGUCCGGACUUUUGCUAUAAUUGUGGAAUAAUAGGCCACGGGGACAGGUCUUGUAAUGGGGAAAGGAAGGAUGGGCAGUCUGGUCGGGAAGGUCAAUAUGGUGCUUGGAUGAGAGCAGGGAACAUUAUGGCAUCUCCCUUGAGAGUUUACAAAGGGACGGAAAUAGAGGUAAAAUAAAGGGGUAUGUGGUAUCUAGGGGAACAAAGAUUCUGGAAUUAAGGCUGGAGCAGCUAGGGAGAAAGGUUCUGGGGGAAUGGUUGAUAUGGGUAGUAGAGGGAGUGAUAAGGUGGGUAAGAAUAGUGACCAAAAAAGGAAGUAAUUGAGAGGAAAUGGAGAGAGUUCUGAGAGAGAAACAAUGAGCUAGAAAAAAAGUGAAAAAGGGGAUGGGGAUAGGGAAAACAAUUAAAGGGGAAAGAGUCAAGAGAAAAGAAAAUAUAGAAAUAUGUAAGGUGAUAGUGGACCUGGGACAAGUAAGAACAGGAAGGACGAUCAUAGUGCAGUGGACAUGGUGGUCGAGGUUUCUCAGAGAAGGAGGUGAAGGACAAAAUUGAAAAAGGGGGUAUGAUAAUUCAUGCUGCUGAAACUGGAAAGAAUGGGUGCGAUCACCAGUUAAUGAAAGCAAACAAGGGGGAAAAUGGAGGAGGAGUUUGCGGAAUAAAAAGUACCUUUAAGAGACAUAACAGGUAGUAGGAUAGUGAGCAGUUUGGAGAAAAAGAAAAAUGCAGGAUGAUAAACAAAAGGCUGGAACCUCAUGGAGGAGGACUUUGAAGAAGGCUCAAAACACAAGCUGGUAAAAAAGGGACGGAAAAUGCUGCCCAACAGGGAGGGGAAUUGGAGGCUAGCCCACAAUGCCUCCACUCAACACAAUGAAGGUGGCGGUGUGGAAUUGUCGAGGUGCAGGACCUUGACAAUUCCCAACUGAAGGAGGUACUUCACCUACUUCCUAAUAUCAUGUUUUUGUGUGAAACAAAAAACCAGGAAAGAUAUAUGAAACAAGUUCAAAAAAGAGUUAAUUUUGAGAAUAGCUUUGUUGUGAAUCCUAAGGGUAGAGUUGGGGGGUUAGCUUUGUUUUGGAAGGAGGAUGUGGUACUGCUGGAUGUACAAGGUUUUUGGUACAUUGCAGUGAGGGUAGUAGAUAAGGAAACAAAUGAUGACUAGUGGUCUGGUAGGAAUUUAUGCAAGUACGGAGGAUAGAGUUAGGAAACAUCAAUGGAAAACAAUAGAGAAAAAAAAGGGAAUGGGGUGAGAAAUAGGCUGUUAAGGGUGAUUUUAAUGAUAUUUGCUCUAAUGGAGAGAAAUGGGGAGGGAGAGAAAGAUUCGAGUAGCUUUAGGACUUUAAUAACUUAUUUCUGGAAUGAGUUGGUGGAUAUAGGGUUUGUAGGGUCCCUUGGACAUGGAGUAAUACAUGGGACGGGAGGGGGAGGUAAAGGAGAGGUUGGACAGAUGUUUAGGGAGUGUUGGAUGGAUGCAGUUAUAUGAAAAUGUGACUUGUGAGCAUAUUGAAAAGAGGCAUCUGAUACUGCCUCCUUAUGGUGGACACGAACCCGCAACAAAGGAGAGGUAAAAGAAGGUUUUUCUUUGACCAAAGAUGGCAAAAGACAAAGCAUCUGAAUGGUAAUUAAAACAGCUUGGGGAGAGAACAACAUGGAUCCAGAAUGUUUAAAGUAGUGAGAAGAAUUAAGGAGUGCAGAUUAGCAUUGAUCGAUUGGAACAGGACAGCCAAGGUAAUGCAAAGGCAAAAAUCCAGGAGAUAAAGAGCAACUGAAGGUAACAAAAGAGCAGGCGGAUGAGCGGUGCAAUAAGGGAGUCAUUACAACUUUAAAGCUUCAGUUAAGCAAAGCCUAUAAGGACGAGGAGCUAUAUUGGAGUCAGAAAUCAAGAAGUAGAUGGCUCAAGAGGGGACAAAAACACUGCUUACUUUCACCAAAGUGUCAUGGCUAAAGGAAACGAAACAGGAUCAGCAUCCUCCAGAAAACUGAUGGGGAGUGGUGUAGGAGUGACCAGGAAAUUGAGGACGAAUUGUGUACACACUAUAAGGAGCUCUUCACCUCCAAUAACCCAAUAGAAUUUGAUGAAGUGCUACAAGGCAUACCGCGCACUAUUUCCAAUCUCAUGAACGCACAGUUGAUUAAACCUGUGGAUGAGUUGGAGAUCAAACAACCAUUUUCUCUAUGUUUCCUAACAAAUUUCUGGGUUGAUGGUAUGUCCCCGUGUUUUUUCAAACAUACUGGAACAUAAUCAAGAUGAUAUUGUCAAUGCCAUUACUAGCUUUUUCAUACGGGCAAUCUCCUUAAGUCUAUUAAUGAGACCAUCAUUUCCUAAUCCCCAAGGUUGAUAACCCUGUGAUGCUAACUAAUUCAGACCUAUUAGUCUAUCCAAUGUUUUGUACAAAACCAUUUCCAAGCUGUUGGUUAAUAGACUGAAAAAAAGUUCUUAAGCACUGCAUUAGUCCAUCUCAAUCUGCUUUUGUUUAGGCAGACAAAUUCUUGACAAUUUAUCAUUGCUCAUGAACUUUUACAUUUCUGAAAAGCAAGAGAUCUGGUAAAGUAGGCUUCAUGACCAUUAAGCUUGAUAUGUCUAAAGCUUAUGAUAGAGUGAGUGAAAUUUCUUGUAGAAUUAUGAUGCACAUGGGUUUUUGUCCUACUUUUGUUCAAUGGAUCAUGACUUGUAUUUCCACUGUUUCUUACUCUUUAAUUUGAAUGGACAAAAGAUGGGAUGUGUCAAACCUUCCAGAGGGAUUAGACAAGGAGAUCCUCUAUCUCCUUAUUUGUUUAUCAUAUGUACUGAAGGACUCUCAAAUUUACUCAAGAAAGUUGUGGAUAAUAAGUAUCUAAUUGGUAUAAAAAUCUGCAAAGACAGCCCCAUGGUGUCUCAUUUAUUUUUUGCAGAUGACUCCCUCUUGUGUUGUAAAGCUAGCAAACAAGAAGCUCAGAAGAUCAAGGAGAUAAUUCAGCUUUACAGUCAAGCAACUGGAUAGGUGGUAAAUUUUGUCAAAUCUACCAUAUUUUUUACUAGAAAUACUCCAUGAUGCUUAGAGGGGAAAUUAGUGAGGUGUUGGACAAUAUGAGGGAAGCUCACAGUGGUAAAUAUCUAGGUCUUCCGAUGACCAUUAGGAGAGCUAAAAACAGGUUUUUUGGUAUUUGUUCAGUAACAUUAGUAGUAAGCUUCAAGGAUGGAAACAAAAGUUGCUUAGCCAAGGGGUAAAGAGGUUUUGAUCAAAUCAGUCAUCAUGGCUAUGCAUACAUACAUUAUCUUGCUUUAAAAUACCCAAAAGUUUGUGCAAAACCAUUAGUGCUAGAAUCGCAAGGUACUGGUGGGGUGAUACCUCAAUUAUAAGACCGCAAAGAUAUAAAUAUUCUAGCUAACAGUGCAACUAAACGCAGCCAAUGUGAUGACAAUUAGUCAAAACUAAUAGAAACUCAGUUCUAAGACCUAAAGAUCAAAGUACAGGAAACGUAACCUGUUCAAAGAAAAUACACGGUAAGGGAGGCUGAAGAGGGAAGGCGUAGUAAUGUAUAAGAAUAAUCUCAGCUUAACCUUAUGCUUAAAAUCAACACGCUUGUCACCCAGGUUCCGUAGGAAGACACCCAACUGCCGUGCCUGACCACAUCCCAGUGUAUCCACCGCAGUAGAUCAAGGCUGCUAAAAUCUUCAGGUGGACUUUUCGAGCUGCCACAAGCCAAUCUUCUAGUGGAUUUCUAGAGUUGCCACACCCCAAUCAUCCAGUGGAUUUGUAAAAUUGCCACAAGCCACCAUUAAUCUUCAAGGAUGACUAGAGAUGAGAGGACUAGACCCACGUCAUUCGUUGGUCUAAAUUACCUUGUUUCCUUUCAAGCACACCGAACUAAAUAAUGCCAUUCUGGACUUUAUCAGUCAGAGGACUAGCUCCAGUGUCAUCCGCUAUCAUUUUGUUUGUCUGGUUCUAGAAAAGUUGCCAUUUCUUGGAUGAAAUCCCAGAGCAUUAACAAACAUUCUCUUUGCAGCACCAAUAUGCUCCUCUCUGAGGUUGUCCUUGCGAAUAUUAGCCUGAUCACUUUGUGUGCCAGGGGAACUCAAUUUGCUAGGUCUAUCAAUAUUAUCUUUGGGUAUGGUAAAACCAGAAUGUGAUGAUUCACUGUCACUGAGCCUCAAUUCAUUUUUCUUGCCAAUUGAACUCAGAUUUUUGUCAGGCAUGACACUUUUCUCAGUGUAAACUUCAACGCCUGAAUUGAAGUUGUCAUCCUCCUCAUUUUGGACCAUCAUAUUUUUAGCUUGUUUUCCAUUAGCAUUAGGCUCUCUAGAGGAGGUAUCAUGAUUGUGUGGCUUAAUUCUUUGUCCAAGAGCAUGUGCUAUCAUUCGGCGGGCAACGGUAGGAUUCUUUGGUGGCCUUUGCUCUACCAGCUCUCCUGUUCUACAUUCAUCAACAGCAAAAAUGCGUUCACGAGCUGCCAAAUAAGCUGCUUCUCUCUCCUCAAGAGAAAGUUCAGGCCUUGGUGUUUCUGCAUUCAGCCCUGCACACACGAGCAUGUUACACUUGAAUAAGACUAGAUUUACAAACUCACACAUAUUCUACCCAAUAAAUAAUAUAUGCAGGGAAGUCAUCUGAAAACGAAUUCAUGUCAACUAAAAGCAAGAAAAUAGAUCAUUGCAAUGCAGGACUUGUUGAAGAUGAACCAUGCAAAGUAGCAGUCAAGCGAGAUACAAUUGUUGGUCUGUGCAAAUCAAGAAUGCAGACCUCUUUUCUAUAUUAAAAAAUUUAAAAUUUUUUAAAAAAAAUCUAAUCCUAUUACACAACCAUUUAAUAUCACUACAAAACAUUAAAAAGUUAAAAAAUGACCUAUAUGGCUCUGAUAUAUUUUUAGCUUAAAACUAUAUUAUUUUGCUCUUCAUUGAAAAAGAAAAAAUGAAAUAAAAAAGACAGGAAAGUACCAUUAGGAAUAAGCAACCGAAGAGUUUGCAGAAAAAUGGAAUAGUACUCUACACAUAACCCAAAUCAGGCAGCAUUCAGGAAAGAAGGAAAAUUCUUCACAAGAUUGAUUUCCAAGGAAUUCAAAUUCAUGCCUCAUGACAGAUCCAGAUAUCUUGCAAAUAAACAGGCUUAAAAAUCAUAACAUAGACGAUUGAGGUUAGUUCAAACUAAUUCCACAAUACAGCAAUAGGCACAAAUUCAAAAAAAGGCAGUGCAGUGGUGUCAAAACCAAGCAAUAUCAAAGCCAACUGAACUUCUAACACACUGCUGUGUGCGCUUAGCACUAAAAUGUGGAAUUGGGAACAAACAUUUCGUAUACUACAAAUAACUAGAGCAAGAAGUUUUUCAAGAAAAAAAUUCAUAGCAAUUGACAGACAUGAAGUGUUUUUUGUCAUGUGCUUCGUUUCUUACGAGGAUCUGAAUAGCACCAAUGUAGAAUAAUACAAGUCCUACUACUUAUGCACAUGUUGCUGAAUAGGUAAACUUAAAUACUUGAUCCAUUAUGCAAUUUCAAUGUUAGCUGCAAAAAAAAUCCAUACCUGGUUGAUCUGCUUUCUUCUUCUCUAAUACUUCCAGAAAUUUUGGGGUUGGCAGCAAUUCAUCAUACUGCCACAGUAGAUCACUGACAAGGAUGGAAGGUCUGCAAAUCGAAUACUAGGGCUUAUCAGAAAUGAAGCUUGUACCUGAAGCUCAAAAAAAAAAAAAAAAACUCAUACCUACCACCUAAAUCUUCAACCUUAGAAAAGCAGACACUGGAUUGUUUUUUAAUUUAAUAAAAAACUGGAGAUAUGCUCUCAAAAUAAGCUUCAAUAUAAUACUAUAAAAGUCUUUAAAUAUGUGGCAAAAUGGCCAGCAUUUUGUGCAGCCCCAAACCAUUCAAGAUUCAUUAUUGGCUGAAAACAAGUUAAAGAAGUGCUCAAGAAUCCGCACUAGCUGGUUAGAGUAUUAGAGCCUUAAAAUCUAAAGCAUUGAGAAUAAUGUUAAACUCUGAAGGACUUGGAAAGAAUUUAGGAUGCUAUUGGCCGGAUCAGCCUUUAGAAACAUCCAUGUCCAGGUCUUAUGACAAACCAUCACAAGUGCUCCUUAAAUCAGCAUAAACUUUCUUUUCCAACUAAAUGCAUGCAAAAUUCAUUACAUGACCUCAAAACCAGCUUCCCUAUUUCCAGUGUCAAGAUUCUCUACUUAGUUUUGCACCCAUGCAGACUAAAAUUUUCUUUCCGAAGUCCCAGUUAAUAUUCACAUCGCAAGUUCUGAACAAGACUGAGUAUCAUCCUCGACCUAGAGUACCUAGCUGAAAUAUUAUCGGUAAAAACAUUUUGAAGGCUAGCUAAUGCUUUCAAGGAAUUGCUUCAUAUGCAACUCAGAUGAUAAGCCAUAAUCAAGCUAAAGUUUCAUGUUUCAAGUGACCACAAUCAGCAAACGUUUUCUUUCAGCUAUUUAAGGACUUUUGAUAAUCACCACUGUAUUGCAUACAUUGAUGUCUCUGAGCAUCGCUCCAAAACUAAGUGUCUUGCUUCUCCUUCACCAACUGAUUCAUGAGAAAACCUGCCACAAUACAACCAUAACCUCUCUUCAAAAUCAAACAAUACCAUAAGCUGGAGAAAAAUCAAAAAGUCAAUAGCUAAGGCAUCCACUAUCACACAAGAGGACAGUGGCAUAAAUAACCUCAGAAAAGGUUUGAAAAAUUAAUACCCGAAAAUAUCAGCUAGACGAUGCAAGAGAAGGCGACUGUAGGAAUCCAUUGGCUCUAGCUCCAAAACCCCGUCUGAACUGCAUAUGACAUGAUUAACUCCAUUAUAUUUUCAUAAACUCCUCUAAUGUCUUUGACCAUAGUUUCCAGGAUUUGAAGCAGCAAACUAAGAGAAAGGAAAUCAAUGGUCAUUGCAACGAAGGAAUAAUGGGUGAAAAGAACUGAAAGUCACCCAUUAAAAAGAGAUAGCAGACCAUUUAGCAACCUCUCUCUCUCUCUCUCUCUAAUGGGUGAAAAGAACUGAAAGUCACCCAUUAAAAAGAGAUAGCAGACCAUUUAGCAACCUACUAUGGACUACCAGCUAGAAAGUACUUAAGGUCCUAGGACACUUCUGAAAUAAAAAAUCUCACCACUAAAUAUAGACUUAGAAGAGCAUCACUUACAUAAGGGUGAAUUAAGAAAAAGAAAAAGGUCCCGUAGCCAAAUGCAGUAAAUACCAACAUCUAACUCAAUAUUAUGUAACUCCAAAAAACUGAAAAUUUUAACAGAGAAUUCCCGACUGAAAUCCUUCAAAUACAACUCCACUUCCAUUCUUAGGUGCAUGCACAUAAGAAAUCUUUUUGAGGAUCAGCAAAUCGAAAGAGUAAAGAAACAUAUUCAAAUCAAACACACAACCACUCUAUAACAAUCAGUUUAUAGAAAAACUACAAAAAAAAAAUUAGCAUUCCUAAAUUUACUAAUUUACAAAAUUCAGGAAUUCGAAAUAAAUUGACAACUUAAAAUCAUUUGCAAGCAUUUAAAUCUGCUAUACUUAACCCAACUGGAAGUCAUGUCACAUGGAGUGGAAAAAGGGUCAACACUCUACGAAAGCCAUGAGUGUCAAAAAUGAUAUAUGCUGCAUGUAUCCCUAGUCUACAUUAUAUAACAUUUCCAGAUCCUUCAUGAAUUGAUUGGAAUUCACUAACGUGCUAACAAGAAUUCUCAUCAUUAUACAACGUCACCGAUGUUAAGCAACUUCCUCUCACUCUCAGGGAAUGGAAUAUGUUGACAUUCAUUUCAGCAAAGAAGCUCAUAUCUAUUAGAUUCAGAGAGGAAGUUGUUCUGAAACUACUACUACAGAGACUUCAACAAGAUCAAAUUAUGGCCAGUUAGUGCCAUAUUUGCCCUUACUGAACUCGUUAUUAGCCUCAAUACUUAUUUUUUGGUAUAUAAAAUGGUUCAACAAGCAUGAGUACUCAAGAACAUUUCUCAAGUCCACGGAUUUACACAAGAAGCCAUCUUUUUGACUUGUUUCUUUCUUGUAAUAUCUAGCAAUGAUUUCAAGAGCUUAAGUAUGAACCAAUAUAAAAGUCAAACAUCUAAAUCCCAACUAUAUCGGCCCCUUUACCCAUCUGAUGUCUCCCAUUUCUAGUUAUUAUAUGUGCAGACUGUGACUGUGCCAUGCAGCCAUAAUUCUGGACAUUGCAACUCUACCAGUACUAGGCUGUGUCAAGAGAGUGCUCUUUCUGAGUCGAUUCAGAUUUCAGCAAUGUCAAUCUCCAGUUUCACAAUUUUCAGAAACAAAAAGAAGGUUAUUACUCAUAGACACUUACAAGCAACUAUUCAUUAUGGUGUCAGCUGAAUGUUACCUUGUAUCAUCCUGAAGGAAAUCCACCAGGGCUGCUUCCACAGAGAGAACAAGAUGCUUGCAAUGAAGAUUGUCUUUGAUUAAAGAAGCCAACUCUUCAACCUACAAAAGAUGCCACUAUAAUUAUCAACACAAAACAGCAAGCAUAAUACAAUGCAGCACUGAAUUGCGUGUUUGAGACAAAAGAUAAACCAGCAUAAGAUCUUGGGAUACAGAUAUUAUGUCUAAACAGCAGUACAACCUGUUUGUUUACUUGUUAAAUCUCAUUACAAUUGAUAAGAAUUCGAGUAGUAGAUAGACACCAGAUAAGAUGAUAUCUUGCAGUAAUGUGACAUGAAUAUAAACAAAACAAUGACAUCAGGAAGAAGCCAAUAAAAAAUGCCAAUAAAGAAGCACCAAGCCAAUAAGAAAGUGUAAUUAGGUUAAAUACAAGUGAAAGUCCAUCUUAAUCGAAACAAUAAGUUUUAUACAAAGAAAAAAUUUUGACUGCAGAAAUAUGUAGCUGUUGUAUAUAUUAAGGGAAAGCCAGUAAGCGACAAACUCCCCUUGUUGAAUAGAACAGAUCAAAAUGCAGCAAAAUAAGAUGUCAUUAAACAAGGGGAGAAAAAAAUAAUAAUAAGAAGAGGAAAAGAGGAGACUCUGAAGGUAAAAGGUUGAGAUUAACAGCAUGUAGAUAUUUGAAAAUUCAGCAUCAAGGAGUUCAAACAAGUAAGAUUUCCCAAUUAACCACUUUGCAAAAUAUGCAUAACAACCAGCCAGUGCAAUCCGCUGAUCAGAAGCACUUCUUCACAAAAACACAACACAAGAAUAAAUCAAGAUAGAAGGCAGAGCAAACAAAACGAAUUCCACAACAAUUCUCCAGUUAAAUUUAAUUGCUGUAACACUAUCUUCUAUGUAUUUAAGUUAGCCAUUGGUUCAUAUAUUCUUCAUUAGUCCAUAAAGCUCUAGCCAAUGCUCGGUCACCAUAUAGUUCAACUACUAGUAACUGUAAAAUUGUUUACUUGGCAACAGAUGGAACCCAUGAACGUUGAACAUGGAAGAGUGUUCAUAUUCGAGUUUCAGUUACGUUAGCCAAAAAGCUCCAAAGAUUCACAAAGUCUUCAACUUGAUAAUGAAAAUUAAAGCUGCAAAGUUCGAUAAUACAUUAUUUCACCCAGCAAGAAAAGAAAAAUACCUUUACUUUACUUGUUAUUAAGAAAAAAGGAAACAGGGCAUCCAUCUUUUUGUAUUCCAGACAGCAAAAUUACCUAUUUUUACUCCACACAGCAAAAUUACAUAUUUUUCCCAAGACAGCAGGGCUACCAAACUUUAUUUUAGUCUGCUUAUAAUAUGCAAAGAUUACAACUUUUUCAGUAACCCCAUGGACAAAAAAACUCUAAUCAAUGUUCUUGGUUGAAUUCGAGCAACCCCAUGGACAAAAUAACAUGCCCAUCUCUUAUACACUUUUCAAGGAGCCAAGUAAAAGCCAAAAAAAAAAAAAGAAACUUUAAAAGCAGAAUUACCAAGAAAGCAUAUGUAAUUAAUUACCAUGGCGAAAUCGUUGAGACUCAUUGUACAAGGGAGUAAGAAACUCUGAGAGUGUUCUGGGGAUUGUUGUUUUCUUCAAUUGGACCGAAAGGUUCUUUUCAAUGCUCAGUAGAAAUUGCGAUUAAAAAAAAAUGAUAAUAAGCAUUCGGCUCUUGAACAAUUCCCCGUUUGUGGGUCACCUAGGAGUUUUAAUUUUUCAGUCAAGCUCCCUAAUUUUAAAAAUUUGCAUUUUGGUACAGCUGACAAUUUUUUUUUCUUUUUUGCACUUAAUUUUGACUAAAGUAAAGUUAUAAUAAACGAGCAAGAGUAAAUGGGUGGGAUUAGUAGAUCCGUCAAUUGUAACAUGCACAGAAGUGAGUUGCAGUGAUUUAUCUUAUUAGAAGAUAAUUUAAAAAUUUUUUGUUAUUUUUCAUUAGAUCUAUUGUAUCUGCUCUCAUGCGUAUUUAAUUUGUCAUUAGGGUAGUAAUAUAAAUCAAAUCGCGUUUAAUGAUUUUCACUAAUUUGUUAAUGAAAUUUAUUUUUGAUCAAAAAAUCAUGAAAUUUGAAAAAGAAAAUCCUAUGCUUUCUAAUAUUAUCUCGAAAUCACAAAAUUGGGGAAACUAAACACAUGGUACCCUUGAUUUGACAAAUUUUAAGAGGUAUUAGUAUAAUUUAUCAUCUAAAUUUAAUUAUUCUGUAUUAUUACUGAUAGGAUAAAAUUCAAUAUUCACAUUUGCUUGUCGACACUCCUAUAUGUAUAAAUGUUCUUAUCUUUUAUUAUAGUUGCAAAAACUCUAUCUUCUCUCAAAGUGUAAUCGAAAUAAAUUACAUGAACAUUUUUUUAAUCUAUUUAUACUAUAGAGGUAGUUUAAAAAAAAAAAAGAGAUGUUAUAACAAAUUGGAGGGUACCAAUAUCAAUUUUGGGUGAGACUAUUUUGAAUUUUCCCCUGCGGACACAAAUAUUUUGUGAGCCAAUCAAGGCAGCAAAGCAAACGCACCUUUGCACAUUAUCAGCAAAGUACGACUACUUGUAAGGGGCCAAAAAAAAAAAAAAAAAAAACGGACCACUGGUAUUAUCAGUAACAGCGAACGCUUGCAAGAAGAGAAGCUGAUGGAAUGGCGGCUGCUUUACCAUCAUCAUCAACAUGGAAACCUUUCAUUUCCUCGUUUACUUCUUCUCUGAUUGUAAAACCAACCCAUAAAAUUUCUCCUCAAAUGGCUCUGAACAACAGUAGUAUUACCACCGCGGCCACCACCACCUCUAAUAUCAGUAAUGCUUACACCGGUGGAAGAAAGCUGCCCAUCUUGUUGUUUGAUGUAAUGGAUACAAUCGUUCUUGACCCAUUUUACCAGGAUGUCCCUGCAUUCUUCCGGUAUUUUCUUUUCUUUGCUGUGCUAUUCGGUCCAAGUUUUGAUCUUUUGGGAUCCCGUUAUUCAAUUUUGUAAUCGGGAGAUAUAGUUCUGUGGGCUGUUAAGUUUUCAAUGCUCGUAUGAUUCUUCUUUUGUUGUUGUUCGUGUUAGACUUGUAAAGGGUGACUCUGGUUCUAAUUUUUUGUUUUUUAUUGGCUGCCAAUUCUUUGAGAUUUUGUGUUCAGAAUGUCUAUGAAGGAAUUAUUGGAAUGCAAGGACCCAACUCCCUGGAUUGAAUUUGAAAAGGGUCUCAUAGAUGAGGUACAUAACCAAAAAGAUGAUUUUUUUUUAAACAAUUACUUUGGAGUAUGUUGAUGUGAUGUUGAUGUGUUUUUGGUAGUAACACUCAUAUCUACAAAUUAAGUAACACAUCCUAGUGGUAUUUUGUAAAACCGUUAAUCCAUUAGAUUAAAAUUGUGGGGUUUUUUGUGUUCAUUUAAUUUUUUUUGGAAAAGGUAACACUUUAUGAUAAAGGGAAUACUAUUAUUAUGAGGCUUCAAGGGUGUAUAAGCCUAGAGAAACAAGUAAUUAUCUUGUUAUACAACUUUAAAGGUGAAUCACGUUACUCUUUCUAUUACCAUCAGCCAUUUUUUAACUAGAAGCAUCUGUAGUUUGAGUAUGCUAUCCUUUCAUCGUGCUGAAAGGGUAAAUAUGCAGUAGUAAGUGCAUUUACUUGGACCUUACAUUGAAGUUUCGUGAAUUUUUUAAUUCUCAUGCUUCUUACUUUAACUAUUUCAACCUCUUUUCUCUCAGCCAGAGCUGGCCAGGAAAUUUUUUAAAGACGGGAGGUCUUUCGACUUGGAAGGUGAUUAACAACUUUCGUGGCUAAAUUUAGGUUUGAUGAAAUGUAAUUGGUACCUGGAUUGGCACUUUUGGAUAACUUUGUGUCAGUCAACUUUGCUUGGAAUUGUAACUCGACCAUUCAGAAAUUUGCCAUUGUUGAAUGAUACAACCUCUCCCUUUGGGAAAACAUAAUGUCAGUAACCUUUACACAUUUCUAAACAUUUCAAAAGCUUCUGCAAUUGUCCCAGGUUACUACCUUUCCCCUAAUGAAAUGAAACUGACAUUGGUGCUUGAUAAACUACAGUUGGGCAACUUAUCUAAUUCUUCUGUUUUUUAAUGAUAUAUAGUUGGGGAGAUUUCUUCUCAUUUUUAUUUUCCAAAAAGCACAUAAAUUGCGUUCACAUUUGUUUUGAGUAGAAUGUACUCUCUCUGUAUGCUGGAGCACUGCAAGUAUUGUGUCUAGAUAAGAUUAAGCUAGUAACUCAGCAUGUACGGCAAGGAGGCAAAAGUAAAGCACGAAAUGAGUAUGUCGAUGUUUAAUGAAGGAAAAGUUAUCAACAUGGUCCAUGCUAACAGAUUAAAUUUUUUUUUUUUUAAACAUGUGACUACUUGGGUCUUCAGAACUGGGUAUCUAUAGCAACUAUUACAGCUUUCAUUUCUCAGCUGAAUCUUUUAGCAGUGGCAUAUGCUUUUGUACUCUGAUGGAUUUGAUAGGGCAAGAUAGGGUUUCAACUUUUCUAAAGAAGGGAUAAACCCUCCUGAAAAUGUUUAUAUACAGAAACUCUCUACCCUCUAUUGUUAUAUCAGGAAAAACCAGAAUAAUAAGUAAGAAAGUCUUUCUGGGAUAUGUGAAAUCAAGCAUAGUGUUUGUUGAUUUCACUUGUUUAUUGAGCUCUUCUUCUCAAUGUGCUUAGCAUUCUUACUGUGCUUCGGAUUCCUUUUGGAAGAGCUGGUGGAGUCCUUUAAUAAUGUGUGAAUAUGGUUUUCUCUUCCUUCCACCAUUCAUAAUAAACAAAAAUUGCAGCAAAAGCCAAGUUUGCAGAUAAUUUCUAAAACCUGAGCCUUUAGAAUUGUACUGCUAUAGUAAGAACUAGAUUUCUAAGUCACUGGAAACUUCAGACAUGCAGCAGAUCGACACCCUCAGACUAGACAGUUUAAUUAAAUGAACAGUAAGAAAUAAACUAUGAUAGCUUUAUAACCUCACCACUGAUUUACACAUAAAGGAUCAGCAGGCAUUCAUGAUUAGCCUUGUAUCGAUGGUCUCAAAUCUCCCUUGACAAGCAAGCCUAAGGGAUGAAGGAUAAUAAGAUAAGAUUAGAUGAAACGGGAGGCAGGCAUAUGCGUAUGCAUGACUCCAUGUUUAUAGGCUCAUGUGAAUUUUUCCUUUCAAUUUUUUUCUUUUCUAAAUUCCAUGAGGUAGUUGUUUUUCAUUGAGAACUUGGGAUCUAAAUCUUUUCAAGGAGGGUAAGUCCUUAUUCAAAGACUUGUUAACAAGAGUUGUUGAAAGGCUAUGAAUAUAAUUUCUGUCAGUAACUUUUGCUUAGUAGAGGGGGAAAUUACUGGCUACUCCUCAGCAUAAGCUACAUGAUAUUCUCAACCUUAAACCUCAAAGAAAAUAUUGUUAGGGAUUUUUUCUUCUAGAGUUAGACUAAGCCCUUGGAUGAUGAUUUUUAUUUGCCUUCUGUAGUUCUUUUCUUCUUUUUUUUGAUGAACAAGAUUUGAACUUUUAUUGCAGGCCUAAAAAACUGUAUGAAAAGAGGAUAUCUCUACAUAGAUGGUGUUGAAGAGUUGCUUCGUGCUUUGAAGAAAGAUGGCUACGAAAUGCAUGCUUUCACGAAUUAUCCUAUUUGGUAUGUCUUAAUUGCAAAUUUUGCUAAAAGCACAAUUCUUUCAAAUGACAACUGGAUUUUUUCCUCCUCUGCAGGUAUAAGAUGAUUGAGGACAAGCUAAAACUGUCUACCUACUUAUCCUGGACAUUCUGUUCAUGUAUAUUUGGUAUCUUAGUGCUCUGAAAAUUUUCACCUUUUUGCUCCCUCUUUCUAGUGCAUUGAUGAUGUGGUUUGCCUCACAUUCAGGACAUAUCAUUCUCUUCAGGUCAAAUUUUGAGAAUUUAAAUAAGUAUCUGAGGCUGUAGCAGUUUAGCCAGUUUGUGUUAUGAUACUGCUUCUUCAGAAAGGGGAUCAUUGUGCUUCAGACUUGGAGUUUCUUUGGAAAAUUCUCUGCAUUCUCUUAGACUCUAAUUUUUCUAUUAGAAUUUCCACCUAAGAUUCUUAUAUAACUUCUGCAAUAGGCUCUUUAGCCUUUAGAGUGGUAAGAACUCAGAAGUUAGCCACUCCCCCCCCCCCCCCCCAAAAACAAAAAAGAACUCUCUCCACUUAUUGUUUUUGUUUUACGAUGUUGAUUGCUGUUUUUUCCUGAAUACAGGAAAAAGAAAGCCUGAAGCUCAAUUUUAUCUAGAAGUUCUCAACUGCCUUAAGGUUGAUCCAGCAAGUUGUAUUUUCAUUGAUGACAGGUAUAGUUCUUUAUCAAAGUGGUCUGUAUCAGGUUCACGUAAAAAUUUGAAAUGGACACUAAUGAGGGCACUGGACUUUGUCAAUAAGUAAGUAUUUUUUUUGCAUCACAAUGUACAGCUUGGUAUAUCAGUCACUACAGACGUGCACUGUUUUCUAGAUUCAGCUAGCUAGGAACUUUUGGAUACACAAAGUAAUAUUACUUUUACCGCUUCUUUCUUCUCUCCUCUUUACCUGUAAAGGCUGGCAGGAAGGUGACAGCUGUGUCAGCCAAGCAUUUCACUUUAUUUACCACAACUCAAAUGAAAGGAAAAAUCAAAACACAGAAAAAAGAAAGCAUAGUGCAUAUUUUAUUGAAAAGCACAGUGACCUGGCAUACAUGUUUGUUUUGUACAAGACAUUAAUAUUCUUAUAACACUUAAUUGUGAAAUGGGCAUGCUUUUAUAAACUGCAAUUCAUAAUCUCAAAGUGAUGUUUGGACUGACAGAAGGUUGAAAAGGAGGAUCUCUCUGUAUUGUCAUAUGUUAUGUAACAUUUUGCAUUUAAGAGUUGACUUUCUUUCUCCAUACUUCUUUGGGCAACUAUUGUUCUACAUGUUGUACUUAGUUAAUCUCAUACAUCUGAUUUCUUAGUGGUUUGCCAAUUAAAUGUGUUAAAUGAUGACUGAAUGUUGAUUCAUCAAUUUCCGUGCAAGUUAACAAAGAAAACUAGCUGGUUCAACAUCUUUCCUGUAGCAUAUCUAGCUGCUUUCUUUUCGCUCAUUUAGCAGUAUCUCAGUUUGUAAAUGGUUGUGCUUGAGAAAGAGUUUGUGUGUGUGUGGUUCUUACAAUGUGCAGUGACUGAUGAAUGAAUGAUGUUUGCACCAGGAUGAGGAAUGUCGAGGCAGCAAUUGAAGCUGGUUUCACAGGUAUUCAAUUCAAGAAUGCAGAUUUGUUGCGCAAAGAUUUGUCAAUCCAUGGCAUUGACAUUUCAAUGAAUGAACCCAAUGAAAAUCAAGAUGUAGCUGAAGUUUUGGAAUAACAACUUUUCGUUUCCCAAACUUCAUCCGUCUGUUUCUCCUUUUCCCAUAUGUUCCUUUUACCAAAGAUGGUGUACAUUUUUUUCCUGGAAGAGCAUUGAAGAAGUCGGUUCUCACCAAAAUAACAGCAAAGAUAUCAAGGGCCUAUUGGUGGAACCUCUAUGUUCUUUUCUUGGUCCUGCAGUGUGCUUCCCUUUCUGAUGUGUUUAUUUACUGUUAUAAGAUACUAUCCACUCUUUGCAUGUUCUCAUAGCCUGGUACAUUGCACAUAAAGAAUCAAUUCACUUGAAUUUCUUAUUUUCUUUUGUUGAAGAAAGAAACAGUAGCAGUAGCAUGAACCACAAAUUAAGCAGUUCCCCUUUUACUUUCCCUGGGACAUGAGUUUAUACACUGGUAUCCAAAAUCCUACAGCAAAGGCCCAACGAACUAGGGUCUUCCCAAGGACUCUUUCUUUUGGGUCUUCCCUAAUCUGCUUUUGUCCCUGUUCUUGUUCUUUAGCCUCUAAAGUAAUUCUGCAGAACAAGGAGACGAGUUGGGAAAAAAAAAUUCUGGUCAACCAAAUGUGAAAUAUUCAUUUUUCUUUGAUGAAUAAGGGUCGUUUUAGAAACACCUUAUGCUGCAUUUCCGAAUUUUAUUCUUUGAUCUUUGUUUAGACAAGAAUAAAGUAAAAAUGGUAUGACAUUUGGUAACUUUUCUUGUCCAAAAUAUGAACAAAACAAAACAUUAUACUCAAAAGAGUUAUAAGUAAAAUUACUGCAGUAAGUAACUGAAUUAACAAGCAAAUUAGUUUUUUUUUUCUUGCUAGGACAAAAAAAGUGUUUCUUCGUCGAACUUGAAAAUAACAUAUGACCCAAAAUUACAGGAAAAAAAAAAAGCAAAAAACUAGAUUUUGGCCUGAAUUUGAACAGUGAUGCCUCUUAGUCACAGGACUGUAUUUUAUCUGGCUUGUGUUUUGUUUGCCUUGCCAGAGAAGAGGAUGCCAACUCUCCCAUGAUCCCUAAGUCUUAGGUUGUGUUUGGAUUGCAUUUUUCUAGAUUUUUUGUAGAAAAAUUACUGUAGCAAUUUGAUAUAUGUAAGGUAAAAAAGUGAUUGAAAAAUGUAUUCACAAAAAAUGUAAGAAUUUUUCUUUGGAAAAUGUGUUCACUGAGGAUGCCAGAGAAGAGGAUGUCUCUUAGUCACAGGACUGUAAAUUAAACCCUGAGUCUUCUAUAAAUAAAUUUAAAAAAAAUAGAAGAUGCCAUGUAACUGUUUUUAACCGUAAACACAUUUUCUAACUAUCAUUUUUUUAAAAACACACAUCACAUCUAAAAAAACAUGCAAUAGUAUUAUUUUCUAAACAUACUGUAAAAAACUCAGUAUAAAAGUUGCAAUCCAAGUGGAAGUCCAAAGUAGACAUUCAAAGUUAAAAGUACAAAAUUCCAUUCAAUUAAGUUCUACCCUUUUCAACAUUGUUAGGUCAAUAAUGAUUUACCAAAUUAAAAAUGCAUAAAUGAAUUAAAAAGAAAUUUAGGACCCUUUUCAAUUAAGUUCUACCCUUUUCAAUUAAGUUCUUCAAGAAAAUGCAUAAAUGAAUUAAAAAGAAAUUUAGGACCUUUUCUUUUGUGAAAAAUAACAAAAUAGCAAACCCUUGUGGAUAUAUGAUUGUCAAUUUAAUGCCCUUCUCUGAAGAUAUAAAUCUCUUGCACCAAAGGAUGUUAGGUAGGUGGACUUUGAAGGCUUAAUUCAAAACUUUUUUUUUCUUUAUUGUGAAAGAAAUGUAAUUAAGACUUUGGCUGAAAAAUUGAAAUUCAACCUAUCUAAAGAUUCAAAAAAAAAAAAGUGGAAAGGGAGAAAACAAAAGAAAGAAAAAAAAAUUAAAAACUGCUAAUUGGGCAUAUGGGGUAGGCAGCCGGGCAUAUAUGACCGACCAUUCGUUGCACAGAGGCUCUGAAAGAGAGGACGCAAAUUCAAUUCCUGUUUCUUUUUGUCACACAAAAAUGAGGAACCUCGUUUAACAUAAGCCUAAAACAAGAAAAGAUACAAAGGCAACCCAAUUAACCAGCAUUUGACUAUUAACUUGCUGACAAAAUUCACACCUUCUUCCGACCAAGAUAACAAGCCAAUUAUUUGUAUAACUCCAGCAGAAUUCAAUCUUUAUACAUGGUUCUGAGCUCCCUAACCAACAUUGGUCUCCUUCGAAAUCGUCGUUCUUGAAUACCCAGAAGUGGAACUGGGCAGAAUGGCAGCUACUCCUUUAGUGGGUUCGAAUAUGCUCUCAUUGAAUUUAUGCUGCAAAAGGGACUCUUUUGGGUCUGCCAAAUCUUUUGUCAUGCAUGGUGUGAAGCCUUUGAAUUUGGGUUCCUCUGGAAAGAGGAGGAUCAUUUGUGGUUGUACGGCUCCUAUUAGAGACUUCAGGCCAGCUGAUGCUGAUGAAUUUUCAGCUACCACAAUCAAUGCAAAGGUAAAAGACCAAAAAUUUCUUGAUUCUUUCUUUUUUCUUUUUUUAGGUUUGGGAUUUCGAAAUUUUGGUUUUAUAGUCCUUUUUUGUCCUCAUCGUUGAUGUAUCUUGACUCCUACUUUUUGGCAAGUUUUCCAAUUUGGGAUUUUUAUUUAGGUGACCGUUUAACCAUCUGUAUCUAGCUGGAUGCUUAAAUUGCUGUUGAUUUGAUCAAUUGGGAUGUGUCUACUGAUCAUGUGACGGUUCAGUGGUCUUGAUACAGAUAUCCAUUGAGAAGGCUAGUGCAUUGUCUGAACUUAUGCAUCUCUAGGUGUUUUUCAAGACUUGAUUUUGGGUAUUCUGAAGUACAGAUAAAAGUUUACUUGUUUAAGGUUAUAUGGUUUCUCUUGAUAUCUCUGGUUGUCUCACCUAGGUGGAUUCCUCAUCUUGUAACAAACCACUGAUGAUUGGAUUAUGAGACUCCUGUUUUCCUGGAGUUUUCUCUGCCGUUGAAUCAAUUAUGUAGAUUUUGUUCCUGUAGAAAUUGCCUCACUUGGUUGUUUGUCUGUUGAGUAUGCAGCUAGACACCUGUCUAGCUCCUAGUUGCAUUAAAUUGCUAUCUGAAGGUAGUUGGAAUUAGGAUUAUUGAAUCAUGAUUAUUCAUGGUCGAAUGCAAUUGUGGUAGAUUAUAUUUUGUUAGUAUACUUUCUAAAUUGUAGGGCCCAUGUAGUUCUGGCAUAUUCAACAUAAUUUUGGCUGUUCUACUGUUAUCUUGCUGUUCUCUCCACAUAUUCUCGCAAUUUAUAUUCUCCUAUGUUUUCAUUGAAUAACUUUGUCUUGAACUUGGUUAAUUUGUAAAACUGUUUUUGCCAUGUCAAGAUUGUGACCAGCAUCGAAUUUACCAUGUUCUAUCCUAGUGUUGACUUUAACCAUCUGUUAAUGGUCAACAGGAUUCAUCUAAGGCUGAGAGUGUGAGCAUGGUGCGGGAGCAGGAUGAAACUGAUGUGCUCAUUGAGUGUAGAGAUGUCUACAAGUCAUUUGGGGAGAAGCACAUUUUAAGAGGUGUUAGCUUCAAGGUGAAUUUUCUCUCCAUGAUUGUCCAGCAAACAGCUGUUAUUUGAUUCUUGUUCACCUAGGGAGAUGUCAACUACCUUUUUUAUAUGCCUUGGAUGUUUUAAUUAUGUGCUUUUUACUUCCACUAAUGAUUGUAUCAAAUUCUUUGACCCAUUGAUUUGAUUUAAAAGAUAUUCAGAUGAGUGCCCAUUACAAGAGCAAUUGCUUCAAAUAAUUUAAUUUGUGUGCUCUCUGUGUGUUGUGAACCCUAAAAAACCAAUUAGGUUUCUUUUUGUAGUAGUUGAGGUAGAUUAGCAUAUACAAAUGUAGUUUAUGCUGUAUCUUUACAUCUCCAUCAUUGUCGGUAUAUUAUAGUGAUACAUAAUUUUGUUGUUCUUUUACGCUUCGUUCCUCUAAAUUACCCGGACGGUGGACCUAUUUGAUGUUCUUUUUUUUUUAUUCUACUUUUUCUGUGGAAUUUUUUGUUUCCUCGCUCCUUGGUGGAGUUUUUAAUGCAGCCCAGAGAUGUUAUAUGUACAUAAUGGCAUAAACUCUAAUUCCAGCAGUUUCAUGCCCUAAAUUUAACAUGUUAGCGUUAAAUAUCACACUAUUGAAGAAAGACCUGCAUUACAUUUGUAUGACUUUUGCUUCCUUGACCUCAUAUGCACAAUUAAUUUCAAGAUAAGUAACUGGCUUUUCUAAUUUCAAGAGUCAUUCUUACCAAGGACAAUGAUUAGAUUUGGCAUCUUUUUCUCGAAUUUACUACAUGCAAAGCAAGAUACUGUUACCUGUUUUUUGUGGUAGAUAUGCGGUCAGGAAAAUACAACAUAAUGUUUUGCGAAAGCUCGUCACAAAUUUAAUUUGCCACUUAAAAUUAGAGGGUAAACCUUUUUUUAAAAAGUCAAAGUAGACCUUGGACUGAUAUGUGUGUUCUUAUUUUGACAUUUGAAAGUAGGUACACAUGCUAAUACCUAGUUGUUGUAAGAAAUAUGAUUGACUAUCAUAGUGGGUGGCCUCCUAGGGCUGCUGACUUUUUUUUGAUCUUACUUAGACCUAUUCUACUAUAAGUUUUUUCAUUAUGCAAUGCUUUUCAUCCAUUUCAUGAGAUUUCAUUGGACAAGCUCCCAGGCUCUUGUGGGUAUUAGAAACUGAACCAAUGCAGCAGAUUACGCAUUUUAAAAGAUUAAUUUGACUAUUCUCAAAGUUCAACUUCAGAAUCAUAUUUAGAAAGCAUGCUACAUGAAACUGCCCUGUCACAUAGAAAAUAGAGGUCAUUGCUCAUUAACAUUCUCCUACCAUCUUUUGCCAUGUUUUGCAUCUUGAAACAGUUUUAUUGGCAUUUUGCCUUUAUUCUUGUAAUUGUAAGUAUUGGCAAUUAGUGCAAUUAGUGUAUACAAGAAGAAUCGAGAAGAAUUUAAGGUGGAACGGUAAAUAAUUACGGUCAUUUGAAAACUCAUCGAGCUUUGUUAUUUGGGAGAAACGGUUAUGACUAUUAUCAAGCAUCUUUUUAGUGUCCUCUAGAGCAGUGAGCCUUUUAUAAGUUGUACUGAUCCAGUUUUUGUUGACUUGUAUAUUCUGUAAGUUGAUGGUAUAAAGACUUAAAUAAAAUGUGCAGAUUAGACAUGGAGAGGCUGUUGGAAUCAUUGGACCAUCAGGUACUGGAAAGUCAACUAUACUGAAAAUAAUGGCUGGACUUCUUGCUCCAGACAAGGUAAUCUUUGGAAUGCAAUUUUUUGCUGGCCCUGCAACUCGGUUCUGAGAUAAGCGUGUAAUUUAAUUAAUGAGUUCUGCCAGAUCUGACAUUAUUUGUGCCAUGGUUUCCUCCAUGGACUGUGUUUUAUGAGUAGGGGGAGGUUUUGAUACGUGGAAGAACACGUCGUGGUUUGAUCAGUGAUGAGGAAAUUGCUGGCGUUCGGAUUGGCUUAGUAAGUUAACUUCAAAUGGCAUAUUUUAUGAGCUGUCUUGAAUUCGUCAUGUGAUAUGAAUUCAAAAGAAGAGACCUUUAGGGUUCCCUAUUUUAUGACAGGUGUUUCAAAGCGCGGCACUUUUUGAUUCUUUAACCGUUCGUGAGAAUGUUGGUUUCCUUUUGUAAGAUACAUUAUACUUCCUAAACAGCAGUGAUUCAUCUUUUACUGCCUUUUGCCAAGAAACAUAAUAGUAUUCAGUUCAUCAAUACUGAAAUAAUAUGUUUGGCUCAUGCUCAAUUAACAGAUAUGAGAACUCUAACAUGCCUGUGGAUCAAAUCUCAGAGCUUGUAACUGACACUUUGGCUGCAGUUGGGUUGAAGGUAUGUAGAAAUGAUAAAUAUUCAUGAUAGAUAUAUCAAACAUCAAAACAUGGUAGACCUGGAUCAUGUGUAUAAAAUAGUAAACCUUGAUCACGUAUAUAUUUCUUUCGUCUGAUCUUUUAGUUCACAGGGGACACAAAUAUGAAGCAGUUUUUUUCAACUUUUAUAUGAGGAGCGUAGGUGCCUAGUCAUAUUUCAUUAUGAUAUAAAGAAGUAAGCAAAUGUUAGUUGGCCAUGCAUCAUGGAGAAUUAUGCAUGUUAGUCUAACAGUUUCCCUUAAUUUGGUUGCAUACUAUCAUUAAUGAUACCCAAAAUACUUGGGUCCAUCAAGUUUUGCUUAUCGUGAAAUGAUAUAAACUUACAUAUGUAAGUGGAAUAGAUAAUGACUACAUUUUGUUUGGUUCUUUAUGAACCAUGAAAUGUAUUCUUUACCUUGUGAUUGAAGUUCGUCCAAUGUACUUUGGUACUGAUGGUUCAAGUUAUUUAAAGUCCUGGUGGCAUCAUAAUGCUUGAAUCUUGCAUUUGAAUGUGGGAAUAUCAAACAGAAAAGGAAAGGAAUAUAGUCAAAAUAAUUGUCACUACUGUUGUAUGAGGUUUCUUAUGAUCUUCAACUUUUUGAUCUUUAUUAAUGGUUUAUGCAGGGAGUUGAGGAUCGACUACCUGCUGAAUUGUCUGGUGGGAUGAAGAAAAGGGUGGCCUUAGCCCGUUCUAUAAUUUUUGAUACAACAAAGGAUGUAGUGGAACCAGAGGUAAGUAAUGAGGGCUUUCUUAUUGGUUACUUUUUACUGGACUUUUGAGGUUCUGCUCUUCAAAAAGUCCAUAUUUGUGCAUUAAAUCUUGCCAAUUUUGGUUUCUAAACUGAAGUAUGAUUUAGCUUGGUCUUGAUUCCUCAUUUCAUGUUAUAUAAGUGCCUGCAGUUUUGGACAACAAAUCACUGUAGGAUUGUUAGCUGAUUUUGGCUCUUGAUAUUAGAACAGCUGAUGUGACAUCAAGACGUGUCAACUUAUAUUCAAAUUAACCAUUCUGUGCUUAAUUUGUGAUGACAGAGUUGUUAUGGCUAGUAUCUCCAUAGUCUGAACACUUUUUAGUCAAUCACUAUAUUACAUAUUGCCUACCAAAAAGAAAGAAGGAAUUCAGGUAAUAAAGAUGCAUUCAAAUUUGUGGUCUUAUUAAACUUCAAACUGAACUCUGCUUGAAAUGGCAGUUUAAACUUUGUCUUUAGACUAAUUUCUUUUCUGCAAAGUUGUUGCCUUCCGCAUAGAACUUGCAGAUGAUUUUCAAUUAAUUAUCAGUGACAGGAGAUUAUUAGCAACGACUAUGUUAAGUCUUACUCUUGUUUUUCACGUCUUGAAUAUCAGAUGCAGGAAAGGUAAAAAAAGGAAGGAAAAAAGAAGAAGAAGAAGAAGAAGAGAGAGAGAGAGAGGGGGGGGGAGGGAGGGAGGGCAACAAAGUUUGGGGAAACUUCUUAUGCAAAUUAGAUCUCAAGUUAAGAAAUUUACUUCUCCUGUGCUCUUUUAGAUCUGAUUAUAUAACCUGCUCAAGAAACGUUCCAUUAACCAUUUUAAUAGAGAAAUAUACUUCCGUUAGGCUUUGAAGUAGUCUUGCACUGGGUUAAGAUUUUUGCCUUUUCUCAAGACUUGGUGACAGUAUUACUCUUUCUCUGCUAAGUAUUAGAGUUACUUGUGUGAGAUAGAACAUUUUAAGUGCUCUUCCCAGUCAAAAAUUGUCUUAGGGUGAGACACAACUAGUCUGUUUUCUAGUAUUUCCAUUUCCUUAGUGUUGCUUGAAAUCUCUUGGUUGUGUACACAUUAUUCUAGCUGCUUAGCGAUAUGCAUCUGUUGCAAACUCUAUAGGAAGUUAUUGACAAUGGUGAUAGUUUUUCCACAUUUGAGCAGGUCCUCUUAUAUGAUGAACCUACUGCUGGACUUGAUCCAAUUGCAUCAACUGUAGUUGAAGAUCUCAUACGCUCUGUUCAUAUGAAAGGUGAGAGUGAUGUCAGUAAGCCUGGGAAGAUUGCCUCUUAUGUUGUUGUCACUCAUCAACAUAGUACCAUCAGAAGAGCUGUUGACAGGUACUUAAUGCUCUCUUGCAAGUUUUUUAGUAGGAUGCUGCAAAGCCUUGUGUGCAUGGAAUCAAGCAUUUUUACUUGACCUUGUCCUAAAAUUCAUGUGCGGUGGUGUCUAGGUUGUUGUUUCUCUAUGAGGGAAAGGUCGUCUGGGAAGGAAUGACUCAUGAGUUUUCCUCAUCAGCAAACUCUAUUGUACGGCAGGUAACAGCCACUAUUGAUUGGAUGCUGAACUUACAUUUUAAUGUCUUCCAAGUAUAUGUAUAUGAUAUUUUAGGACUUUAACCUGGUCUUCUUUAUCAAUUUCUUUGGAGAAAUACUAUGAGAAGACAAAUUACUAGGGGAAGAGGGGAUUAUGUGCAGGAGUGGAGAUGCGUGUUAGUUGCAUUUUGUUUCACUAGCUAAGCAUGAAAGUGUGAGUGAAUUCCCUCCAUCCGACAAAAAAUGACUAUUUUUGGAGUUGCGCUUCCUUUUCAACAGUGAUAAAUAAAGAGUGAAGUUUGGGAGGUUUCCCAAGUUUACCCUCUCUUUUUGAUGAUUAGCACACAACAUUUGAUGGAAUCUUGGUAAUUCCAACAGUUCAAGGCCUGCAUGUGUUGCUAAGUUGCAAAUUACCCUUAGCAUUCUUUGCACAUUCAUGGUAAUGAUGCAUGUAUCAUCAUAAGCACUUUUGCAAAUGGGCAAAGAUUUAUAAAUGUGGGUUCAUAUUUGAAGAUAAAUGUGGACUAUUAUUUUUCUCAUCAAAAUAGUGGCAAUGUUGUACGAUUAUAACUAUGGCACACAAAUUGAUAAAAGGGAAUAUAGGACCAAUAUAAAUUACCAUUUGGCUCAACAACCAGGUUUCUCAUCAUCAUUGUUUUUAGGAGCUGAUGUAUUGUUUAUUCAGUAGAAAUACUUUCAGGUAUAAGUUUCCAAAUACUUGGCCUUCCCUCACCCUCAGUGGUGGGAGAAUUGAUGCACUAAAUUUGUCAACAAAAUGGCCAACGUACUUAUCUGGUUAUAUAUAUGUAUUGACCAUGUAUUCGUUCUUUUGUCUCAAGAAAAUGUUACAUUUACAAAUCCACUCCUCUCUGACUUGCUUCCCGAGAGAUGUAUGCACAGCACACAAAACCCAUAUGUUGUGGUUUGUUUACCUAUGACUUGGUUAAUUCAUAAUUUAUGCAAAUGUUGAGUUAAUUCUUAACAGUUUACCUGUUUUGCAAUUGCUGUAGUUUGCAUCUGGGAGUUUGGAUGGACCAAUUAAGUAUUAGCUUAUAAAACAGUGCUUAGCAUGAAGAUGCAUGACAUCCUUUAACUUGGAUGCCAAUGGAUUUCACUUCGGAGAGAGAAUUUAAAUGGUUGAGUUGCUGGUUUUUUCCGGUCAAGCAUAGCAAUCCACUCAAUUUGAAUGGAGUGAACUAGCUAACAUUUCAGCCUCAACAAGACGUGCCUGUCCUUGUGAUGUUGGUGCAGCUUUUAUUUUGUGAGCCGGCAUCCACAACUUUGCAAGUUGGAUAACAUUGAACGUGACGACGGUCUACUUUUUUGUGGUCUUUAUAUUCUUUUCAGAAUUUUGACCUUGUACUCAUUCUUGCACCGGGCUCUACCUUGUAAUUUGGAGUUAUUUGAUCGUCUAAUGUAUACCAUUUGUAACCACAGUUCAAAGUCUUGGCUGAGACUGAGAGGACUCGGCCGUGUCAUCACAGGAACGGACCUCUCCGUUUUGAUUUCGAUAUCGGGACGGGAUGAGUCUGACAUACAUGGGUCGCCAAGAAAUAAGCCGAGUCACCGAAAACUCGGUCGAGAAGUCUUCGAUACGAAUAGUUUCAGCUGAGUUAUUCCGAGUUAAAUCGCAAAUUUACAUUUUACAGAUUUUCUUUUACUAAUUUUUUUAUUAUUUUUGUUUAGCAUAUUUUUGAAUAUUAUUCACAAUUUUUAGAAUAUUAAAUGCUUCAAAAUUUGCGUCUCGUCGAGAUCGUGACCAAUAUGUCGAAAUCGAUGUGGAACGGUCAAAGCCGCGACCGCGACCGUAACAGCGACCAAUCAUUGAACCAUGUUGGUAACGUAAACUCAUAUCAAAAGUUAACGAAACGAAUUGACAAUGUCUAUGAGGUUUGAGGAUGUCAAGAGUUGCAGGAAAUGUUCAAAUGGAACAAUAGAGUGGCAUUUCAGAAACUGUACACAAAGCAAAAUCGGGUUUCGAAUCAAUCAAGGCAGAGGAUGUAACAAAUGAUAGAAUUUAGGUGACAAAGAUGCUCGAGUAAUCCCCUUUUGGGAUUUUCCCCCAUUUUGCAUUUUAGAAAUUACAUCUCCAUUUUGCAACACUUGAUGGAAUAAUGCAGAGAUAUGAGCAGCAAGAAUGGUAUUAGAUGCUUUUAUAGCUUGGAUGAGGUAAUUCAGAGCACAAGAAUCAAACAAAUGACGAAAUAUUACACUAAAAGUUUGCAUCUUUGCAAGAUAAAUAGAUCAAGAGCUCCAAUAAGGUGAUUCUUUCUUGAUGAGGCUAUGCAUUUACGGUCUGGAAACUUUUCUACUUUGCCAUUGUAGUUAGCUAAAGCAGAAAAAUCAUGGCUGUGACAUCAUUAUUCCUGUAUUCUGCUGCUGGAAACGAGCUUGAGAUUUCUUCACUACUGGCAUUUAGCUUCUCUACUUUCUUAAUGGAAUCACCUUCUUAAUAAAUCCCGAGAAUAUGAGUGGUCUCGAAUCAGCCAUGGCCAGGCAUUGGCCUUCCAGUAGAAAAGCACCUUCAGGCCUCCCCCUCUUUACCCGGGGAAAGAAAUUGGCGAUUUGAUUCAAGAAUAACCAUAGGAAGUCCGUCAAAAUCACCAAAACAAACUCUGUCCAUCUGAAAAGGACAUUCCAUACUUUGUCCAGGCAUAGCAACUAUCCACAUUGCCGAAUAUCAGACAAAAUUACCUUUAACGAAUUGAAAAGGUACCAGCACAGCAAAAUGUGGGACUCCUAGUAAAGAGCAAAUGAUCUGAAGUUAUUCAGCCUACAGGUUACCUGUUUGUUGGCUUAGGUGAUUGCUUUGCCGCAAAUGGCACGAGAAAGAAUCAACUCUGACAAGCCCAAACAAACCUGAAAGGGAUGCCUAAAUGACAUUGUUUUGGAGCAUGAGCUGUAAAACUCCAAUGAUUUCUGUUUUAUUCUCAACUGUGGGAUCGAAAGUGAGUGACUGCAGAAACUAAGUGAGGUGACACAUUACAACUUUUGAGUCAUACUUUGCCUCAAACUACGCCUGUAACUUGAACUAAUGUAGCAUGCAGACUGCAAUAAACCUAUAUUGAUCAAGUCUUAAAGCCUUCGUAUAGUAGGAUGAAUCUGUGUUAGAUAUGUUUAGUCACUAGGUGCAGAAAUUUAUUCAAAAUGCAGAAGAGCUAAGAAGAUUAACGGGAAGUAGUUAAAAAGGCAAGACAUUGUUCCUGUACAAUGGAAUAUUAUCAUUUAUCAUCCCAAGUUGCAGCGUACAUGUACAAAAGCAUUAUAUUUUCGUUUGCAGAAUGUAGUUUCUUGUCCGAGUGGAACAGAACAAAGCCACAAGACCAGAAUAAAAACUAACCAAAGCACUAACGCAAAAUAUCCAAACUGAUAUUGGUCCUUCAUCCAUUUCUCUUUCAAACGUCUUUCCUGGAACUUCUGGAAGGCUUCCUCUUGUACAGCCAUCAUCAGAGAACCCCACACAUAAGUAUGGAUUUCCUGCAAAUGCUCCAGAAAAUCUCCAAUGCGUCUGCUCCUUGGGUACUAUUCCAGAGAAAAAAUUGUAUGAAAGAUUCAGGAGAGUCAAAUUUCCCAGAUUGGAAAUGUUAUCUGGAAUCUGACCAGCCAAAGAAUUGUGUGACAAAUCUAGAACCCUUAAGCUCAACAUCAUUCCCACAUUUUCAGACACUUGACCGUCAAGAAAAUUGUGAGACAAAUUUAGGUAUUCAAGACCUUGCAAUCCAAAUAGACUUGCUGGAAUUUGUCCGUGUAGUUGAUUAUCUGACAGAUCAAGUCCAACUGCAGUUGAGAGAUUGUAGUUGAAGCUUAGUUCAGUUUUACCAGCAACAAUGAUAGAAUAUUUGAUAUCCAGCUUUGGAGAUGUAACCGAUGAAAUUGUAGUGGUCGUUCUGCCAGCACCAACACUGAUGAAAUUUUCACUAACGUUAAAAUUACCAUCAACAAUGUAGCCAGAGAACUUAUUCCCAGAAAGGUCCAUUGUACGGAUUGCUGCAAAUGUGAAAAGCCAACUAGGUAGAGCUCCACUGAAUUUGUUGCGAGCAAGGGAAAGAAAUCUGAGGUUGGACCACUUAGUUAUUGCAUCAUUCAAAUACCCAGAAAGAUUAUUAUAACUGAAAUCUACAACUUCCAAAGAUUUACAUCCUGCCAAGGUGAGCGGUAUCUCCCCAGAAAUCUGAUUGCCGCUAAUAUCAAGUAUCUUCAAACUAUCUAAUGCAUCGAGCUCAGGUUGGAUUUCACCAGAAAGAUUGUUGUUGUUCAGUACCAGGGCCAGUAGUUGAAAACAGCCGACAAUGUUCAAAGGUAUUGAACCUGACAGUAUGUUAUGUGAGAAAUCAAUCACUUGGAGAUAGGUUAAAUUCCCAAUUCUUGACGGUAUCUCUCCACUAAGCAGAUUAUUGGAAAGAUACAAUGCCUGCAAGCUUUUUAAUUCUGUAAUCGUUACCGGAAUAUUCCCAGAAAAGUGAUUGUGCGACAGAUCAAGAAGUAAAAGCCUAGAUUUCUCUGAAGCCUCAACUAUCUUGCUUGGAAGUCUCCCAGAUAAUUCAUUGAAACUCAAGUCCAGGACAACUAAUUUUUCUGAAAACACAAAUCUAGGAGAGAUCCCAUAUGUUAACACGUUAAAUGACAAAUUGAGCUCGGUCAAUCCUCUAAGAGCAGAAAUGCAGGUCGGUAACCCUCCCAUAAUCGAAUUAUUGGCUAAAUUGAGCACCGAGAGUGAUGCAGACGAGGCAGAGAAACAUGGCAAGGUGCCAGAGAGCAAAUUAGCCUCAAGGUUGAUAUGCCCAAGAGCUUGACGAAAAUCGCCAACACUUCCCACCAAAUAAUUGUGGGACAAAUCCAAAUACCUCAAUGCCACCGAGUUAAACAAGCUUUUUGGCAUCUCACCAUUAAAAUUAUUGAAACUCAGACGAAGUUUUUCGAGCUUGACAGAGAAGUUCCCAAUCCAAAAGGGGAUGGUACCCAUUAACAUGUUAUGACUGAGGUCAAGCUGAACUAAAUUGUGAAGUUCCAUGAGUGCACUGGAAACAACACCACUAAACCUGUUAUAGCUAAGAUCCAGAUUUUUAAGCCUUGAAAGACCCCCAAAGCAGAAUGGGACAGAAUCAUUGAAGCUGUUAUGCGACAAACUAAGGGUUUCAAGAAAUGUAAGAUUGCACAAACAGGGGUGCACCUGGCCUAACAAGUCCAGUCCAGUGAGGUUAAGUGCAACAACCCGGCCAGUCUGGUUUGAACAGGUGACACCAUGCCAGUUGCACCCAACAGCGCCAUCCCAGCCUGACAAACUCUGGGAUUGUUCCAGGAGCUGUGACUUAAACAACAAAAGUGCAGAACCGUCUUGAGGGUCAAGACCAAUCUCCACCUCACCACCCACAUUCGCAGAAUCAUUGUUCAAAGAAACAGCAAAAAUAGCAAGAGGGCUUGACAAAAAUAACAAGAAGAAGAGCAAUAAGAAUGACAAAGGCCAAAAAACAAAGCUUUUCUUGCAGACCGUGAUAUCAAAAUCCCAUCUUUCUUCCAUGGAUUAAAGAUGGGCUAUUUAUGAGCUACCAUAGAAUGGUCCACUCUCACUGCGUGAGUGUGUGUUUUUUCUUGUGUCAAAACAAUAGUGUCAGUACCUGCAAGCUGGAAACAAUGCAGUGAGCUAUCUAAGACCGAAUUGGGAGGCGGGGUAUGAAGAACAGACAUUCUUUUCUAGCUUCCUCGAAUUUGCUGCAAAAAGGGAUUCUUUAGCUACUGAUUAAAGCUCGAAAGUUUUAGUACUACUAGAGUAUUAUGUUGCCAUAUUGCAAGGUGUGAACUAAAGUAAAGUAAACAACUUUUGAUCCUGGUCUCUUUUCUUGAAAUUCUCUGUUAAUGUGCUGUUCCUGCUGCUCUCUUUUGCUUUACUUUUAAUCUCUCGAGGAAUAGUACUGUAGCAGUAGUAAUCUGUUUGAAAUUCUCUGUUAAUCUGCUGCUCCUGCUGCUCUUUUUAGCUUUACUUUUUAUCUCUGGAGCAAUCUGCUGUUCUUUUUGUAAGCGCGUGUACUCUUCUUUUUUUUGGUAGUAUAAAAAUUUUAAAUAUAUUUAACUUCGAUCACCACUACAAUUAGAACAUAUUUAUUUUUGAAGAGGUUAUAGCUUAUCAACACAACCAUUACAUUGAAGAAUUUUUACAAAUGAUUCAUCAACAUGUCAUUUCAAUGUAGGACGAGAAAGUGACCGUUCUUACUAAUUCAGUUAAAAUUCAGUUAACCUGUGUAAUUUGUAUUAACAGUGUGUGGACUCAUACCAUUUGCGUUCAGGGUUCAUCUUUUUGUCGCCUAGGACACAUCAUCAUCAAUUCCGAAUCUUUCAACAACUUUUUUGGGCGCGUGGUAAAGGUUUCCCAUUACAUGUCAAUCACUUGAGGCUUCUCUCUACUCUGUAGCUGUAUUGUAUGAUUAUUCUCUCUUUUAAUUUCUUUCUUUUUCUUUUAUAUUAUUUUCUUUCUUUUUCUUUUACAUUGACUCGAAUAUUCGUCUCACCUCGUCGCAAAAACUUGAGUAGACAUGAUUCAUUAGAACUUUUGACUUAAAUUUUGUCACAUCUUAAUUGUACAAAUUAGCGCAAGUUAGUGAGACGAUAUGACAAAUUUUGAGAUAAUUAGGCCUUGUUUGGAUUGCCAGUUUCCGUAGAAAAAUUACGUCAUUUUUCGUGAUCACAUUUUCCUAUUACCUUUUUCCCUCGCAUACAUCAAAUCGCUAUAGUAAUUUUUCCAUGAAAAAUCCCGAAUAAUCUACGGGCGGAGCUCAUGUAUUUGAUGUACUCAAAUUUUCGCCCUCGCUCAUAACCCAUAAAGUCAAAAGAGAUGAGCCACCCGAUUUUGGGAUGACAAAAUCAUAUGUCGAUCUGAUCUGAUGUGGAGAUAUCAGGUGAUUUAAUGUUUCAUUUACUCAAAACACCUCCAAGGUUUAUACUAAUCCAGUACAACUUUUACUCUUUUUUUAUUUUUAUUUUUUACAAUUGAUAACACCUAUACUAUCCUCUACCCUCUAUUCUAACGAAGAAGAAGGUGAACCGAAUUAGGUUGUGUAAGGAGUUAGAUAAGGAGGACCUACCUAAACUAAAAGGAUUACUAUUGCAUACUUUUUAGAAUUUUUUUCAUGAAAGAUGUAUAGGGUCUGAACCCGAAAACACAUUUCUAUGGCCUUGUUUGGAUUGAUAUUUUCUGUCGAAAAAUUACGUCGUUUUCCGUAAACACAUUUUCCUAUUAUCUUUUUCCCUCGCAUACAUCAAAUCAUUACAGUAAUUUUUUCAUGAAAAAUGAUGGAAAAUGCAAUCCAAACGGGGCACAUUCACAAAGAAAUUUUUUCAUUUGCUGACCAAAUUUACUUAAAUACCUAUUUUUGGUGUCACUUACUUUUGACGUCCUUGAUUGUUAAUGUCAAUAUUCUCAUGAAAAAAUUCCAAUAGUUUGAGUAAUUCCUUAUUUUCACACAAAAAUGUGUGUUAGCCAAUGAUAAAAUUCCAAAUCUAGAAGUCUAAAUGUCCUAUAUAUCCCUCUAAAAUAACUAAAUAACCAAGUUUGUCAAUAUGCCCAAUAUGAGGAUGCAAAGUGGUAAUUUCACAAGGAGAAUAUUGGACCUUAGAGGUGGCUGAAUAACCCCAAUGUACUACUAUAAGAACAUGUUACAUGUGCAGUGAGUCCAGUGACUAGUAGUAACGUGCUUCAGAAUUCUUCAAAUUUGAAUUUAAGCAUUGUGAUUAUUGUCCAUAAACAUUUUGCAGCCACACAUGUCUUAUCAGGCCGUGUGUCUGAAAGAUUAUUUGGGAUAAUUUUUUUUAAAAAAAUUAUAAUAAUUUUUUAAUCUAAAAUAAAAAAAUAAUUAAAAAAUAUUUUUUUAAUAUAUACAGAUAAAUAUACGUAAAUAAUUUACUAUCCAAACACGUACAUUUUCCCAAUCUUCUCCUCCAAAAAUUUGAUUCCCACCGGCAACGUCCCUGCCCUACCCCAUUCCAAAGAAAAGUUCCAUCAUUGUGUUCCAUGAAGAAAUCAUUUACCUAUUUUUUCGUUGACCGUAUCUGACUUUUUCUCGGGGGACGAUGUAUUUCUAUUUUAGAAUGUGUAUGUAGCUCCCCCAUGUUGAUUGGCUAUUUAAAAAAAGAAGGGUUAAUUUCAUUUUGCACCCCCUAAACUAUUAUCAAGUUGAACUUUUAUACCCUAAACUUUUAAUUUUCGUGAUUAACAUCUUGAACUUCUAAUUUUUGCAUCCACUCCAAUAAACUCAAUUCUGGCAACCUAAACCGGAUUUCUUCCGACAGUUUUUUGGUGAAAAGGCCCUCUCAAUUCUACUUGUUCUUCUUUUUGUACUGGAAAUACCCUUUUCUUUCCUACAUAAUAAAGGCCAAAACUUUGAACAAAUAGUAUACUAAUAAUUAAAGGGUUUCAAAUGCAAAAAAAAAAAAAAAUGGAAAAAUGGAAAAAGAAAAGUUUCUACGCCUCUUAACAUUUGCAAGGCGAGGGAUCAGAGAAGUCUCAGGCCUUUCCUCCCAUUUGCAAAUAGGAGCCAUCUUGAUUUCUACACAAUCCAAUCAAUUGGAAUAUUGCCAAUGAUUGUUGGGUCAAGUGACAAGAAAUUUAGGUUGUAUUUGGAUUGCAUUUUCCGUCAUUUUUCAUGAAAAAAUUACUGUAGCGAUUUGAUAUAUGUAAGGGAAAAAGGUGAUAGGAAAAUGUGAUCACGGAAAACGACAAUAUUUUUCGACGGAAACAAGCAAUCCAUGAACAAGGUUCCUUAGCAAGGUCUCGAGUUCGAGUUUUGUAGAUUAAGGGAAAAAAAAUGCCAUCUUUGAGAUUCGACACUGCUUGACUUCAGAUUAAUUGAAAUCCAAUGCGAUCACCAGAUAUUGGAAAUUUACACAAAAAAAAAAAAAAGAAACAUUAGCAAGGUCUAUAAACUUAACCUGAUUUGUACAGAAAACAAUUUUGAUUGGAUUAAGUUUUCUAGUUCUAUUGACCCCGUAUGACCUAAAAAUUGCUUUGUCUUUGAAGGACUGCCUGCAUUAGGUAGAGAAGGAUUAAUUGGUGCUUGCAAUUUACUUGAUUGUUUUAUAAAAGUUUACGUACGGCUAUUGUAGCAUGGAUCUAUUCUCUAAUUUUUCUCUUAGCAUUUGUUACAUCCAAUGUACAAAUGACAACUUGGGGAACAUUUGAUCAUAAUCUAACUUUUCUGGCAUAGAUGAUCAAUUAGUGCUAGGUUUACAAAGUGAAUUAUUCUAGUUCCCUGCCUUCCAUUCUCCUCCCAUGGCCUGCAAAAAAAAAAUAAAAUAAAAUAAAAUAAAAUAAUAAGAAGUAGAAAAAAGGGAAAAAGUGAAACAUAGAUCAGUUUUUUUUUUUUUUUGGUAGUAGUAUAGAACUGCUCAGAACACUUUUUUAA